UUUCCCUCCCCUAAUUAUAAAAAGGAAAUUUGUCAAAUUCAAUUUUUUUUCAUAAAAUACGUGAAACCUAUAUUAAUUAAUAUGGCCAAAAUGUUAAAUUUAAAUAGGUUAGAGAAAAUAAAAAAGAUCAUAGGGAAUAAAUAUAUUCAAAUCACAGAAAUGAUAGCGUAUAUAUAUUCAUAACCCUAACUGAAGAGAUCGAUGCACUAGAGUAUAUGAAAUAUAUAAAAUCUGUGAGAUAAAAUUGCUAAAAAAGAGAUCAGUAGUUGAACUGCUCAUCUGAUCAAAGAGCAAUCUUUAUUGUCAUAUAAAUCGAAAUACAUAUAAAAGCAGAAAGAAAUUACAGUACUUAAGAAUUGUUAUAAUAUUCAAGACAAGAGAGAGAGGGAGAGAGGUAUGAUCAAACACAUACAUGGUAUACAAUAUUAACUCAAACCAUCUUCAAUCACCUAAAGCAAAGGCAAACAAAAGUCUGCUCUGGAGCAUAGAUAAGAUCUCAGAUGCUGUGAAAUCAAAAAUCCAUACAGAAAAAUAAAGGAAACAGCUCCCCAAACAUGUGCAGCAGUAAAUAUAUGGUAUAGUAUUAGGUUUUAGUUCAUAUGUAGCAUACAAAUCGGACCAUGAUGCUUCAUUUCCCCAAGAAAGAAGAGAAAAGAAGAAAAGAUGAAGUAAAAUGAAAAAGGCCUUUGUUCAUUGAUGAAGAAAAGAGAGAACCCUUUAACUCAGUGAAGAAGGCAUGCAGAUGGAGGAGGUAGGGUUUCGUUUCUUCUUCUUGAGAGAAUCCAUCUUCUUCAUCUAAAUUCUCUUUUUCCUUGUCUUUUUUCUUCUUCUUCUUCCUUUUCUUGGUGUUGGGAGCUGGGUUGGGUAAGGCGGUGGGUUUUGUGCGGUUGGUAGAUAGCAAAACAUGGAGUGGCGAUGAUGAAAGCUAAGGGUUAAUGAUGAGAGGAAGCAGAGGGGAGAGGACAUGAUGAUUGCUACGCCUUUUUUUUUUUUUUUUUUUUGGUUUCACUCUUUUGGUUUGAAUUCAAGAUAGAUAGAGAGAUAAAUAUCACAAAGAUUUGCGUGCUUAAUUAGUAUUUUACCAGAGAGGUUUUGUGCUUUGUUUCCUUGUUUCACAUGGAGAUAAUUAUCAUGGACACCACCCAAGCUACCUUUUCUUUAACCUAACAGAUUGAAAUCUCUCUACAUUCUGCAUAUAACUUUUUCUUAAUUAAAAAUAAAUAAAAAUUUAUUAUUGGUUAAAAAUAUAUAAGUAAUUUUAAAAUUUUCAUUUAUAUUAUAUAUAUAUUUUUUAGCUGUAGGUGUUAUUAAUUCUUCUCCAAUAUUCUACUUGGUUACUUUUUUUUUUCACCAAAAAGCAAGUUUUAUUAACUUGUUACUUAUUCUACAGUUACUUGAGCUGUGUUUACUUUUACUGAGAUUAAAAAAUAACAGUAGAAAUAAGAUUAGUUAUUAUAGUGAUGUGAUUGCAUACUGUAAUAGUGAGAUUAAAAUCAGCGAUAGAGUAUAUGUUUGAGUGGUGAAAAUAGAAAAUAACUAUGAUUAAGAACAAUAGAUAAAAAUGAUGUAUAAUAGAAAACUUAAAAUUAUUUUAUUUUAUGAAAUUAUUAAAAAUAUGUCAAUUUGUAAUUUUAUUUAGUAAAAUAUUAAUAUGUAUCAUAAUAUUCUUAUAAAAUUUUAAUUAAUUAUAUAAUUAAUUUGUUAUAUUAAAUGAUAAAUAUUUUUAAUUUUUUUAUAGUUAAUUAAUUUCAUUAUAAGCAUGUGAAGUGUUAUUUUUAUUAAUAAUGACACCAUACUUGUAUAAAAUUUUAAAAUAUCUACUUUAUAAUUUUAAUACGUAUCUCAAUUUUUUCGUGAAGGAUAUUUUUGAAGUAUGAGUUUUUUUUUAUUUUUAAAAAGAACAUUUUAUUCUCACCAUGGAACCACCGGAGCAUUUUGCUGUCGUCAGAAAAAGUAGCAGUAGCGGAUUUUGGAAUUUUUUACUGCAUUGAGGGUGAGUUUGGAUGGGCGAUGCGUUUACUUGUAGUUAGUGUAAAAAUAGCGGUGACGGUGAGAUUGAAUACUGUAGCGUGAAACAAAAAGUAAGCUAAACGCACCGCACUGCACCCAAUCGCCCAUCCAAACCCACUCUGAGAUUGCUUCAGUGCAUUUGAUAAAAAAACUUCACUUUCCAACGAAUUAAUAUUUAUGACAUCACAUUUCUUGACAUCUUAAAAAUCAUUACAUUUCUUAUUUGCCAAAAAUAAAAAUCAUUAGAUUUCUUAAAAUGUAAUUAACUUUGUCAUGUAAUUGAAAAGUCAAAAAAAAAAAAACCUUCGAAAAAGAUUUAUCCUUUUUUUUUUUCAAUUUUUAUUAUUUUUGAUGAAGCAAUUUUCUAACUACGAACGAAAUGAUUAAAUAAUUCUAAAUUUAUUUUAAGUAAUGUAAAAUUAAGUUUUAAUUUAUAUUCUAAUUUUUUAAAUAAAAUUAUUUUUAUUUAAAACAAACAAACAAAUAUUAUUUUAAAAAUAUUUAUGUUAAGUGACACAUUUUGUUAAUAAAAAAGUAAUUUUUUUAUAAUAUUAAGUAUAAUUGAAAAUAUUAAAACUAGUAAUCUGUAUUUUAUUUGGUAUUUUAUAAAUAAUAAAUUAUUUUUUAUUAACAUUAAAUAUUAUUUAAAAUAUUAAAUUUAAUAAUUUGUAUUUUAUUUGAGGUGGGUAAUUUUCAAAAAUUACAAAGCAAAUAUAGAGGGGGCAGGAACCUUGCCCUGCGAAAUGGAAAAUUUGUUUUUUGAUUCAUUUAAAAAUGAUAAAAUUAUACUUUAACUCUCUAAAAUGAAAUAAUUUCUAUUUAUUCUUUAAAAAAUAUAAAAUUAUAAGUUAAUACAUGAUAAAACUUAAAAAAAAAAUAUAAUUUGAUUUUGACCUCUCAAAAUAUUUUUUUAGGUUCACCCUUAAAGAUUACCACCACACAUUCUUAGUAAAAUGUUUAGGGAAUCAAACGUGUUAAUACAAUGUUGUUUAAAUUUUUAGUGUGUACCAAAUAUUAUAAUGUUUAUUCAUCCGACUAAUAUUUUUUGUUUUUACUGUUUUUAGGACGUGGUUAGGGAAUGUGAAUUAGAAUACGGUGACUAAUAAUUGUAGUCCCUAUAAUUACGCCAUGAAUGUGUUAAAAAAUGUAGCUAGUAAGAUAUCAUCGAGCAAGGAUAAUUGAAAACCAAAAUACACCACAGCCUAAUUUUAAUUGCUCCCUACGAAGUAGAAACACAUUUUCCUUGUGAUUUGGACUUUUGGAUUUCAAUGGCUCCAAAACCUCAAUCAAAACACCAUUUUCAUAACUUUUUCAUAUAUAUAUAUAUAUAUAACCUUAAUAAGAUGAUAGCAAAUAUAAUGUUCAAACUCUUUUCAUAUAAUUUCCAUGACAUACAUAUUAUAUUUGAUUUGACGAGGUAUUCAGGGUUAACAAAACUUGAUUUAAUUUUAAAAAAUUAAAAUAAAAAUUAAAAUUUUUAGUUAAUCGAAUCGAGUUAUUCAAGUCAACUCGAAUAAGUAACUCAAGUUUUGAGCUUGAGUCGAGUUGAAUCUUACAAUUUGAACAACAAAUUAGUGUAAAUUAUAUCCUUUUGGUCUUUGUCAAUUUUGAAAAUGAGAAAAUUGAUCUCUCUCAGUAAAACUUAAAAAAUAAUUUUAAAAUAAUUUUCAAAAAUUCAAAAAUUAUAUUUUUUUUAUAAAAUUUUUUAAAAAAAUUUAAAGAAUAUAUAAAGAAAUUUAAAAUUUUAAAAUUUUUCUAAAAUGAUAAUUUUGGGACAUAAGUUAAUUAAAGAUUCAAGUUUAUCAUAAGUACCUUCUUCUUCUUUUUUCCUUGCUUUGAAAAAAUAUUCAAAUAUGUAUGGUUUUAAAUUUAUGUGCUCUAAGAUGAAAUUAAUUAUACUAAAACAAGAUUUUAAUUUAAUAUGUUUAAUUUUUUAAUUUAACUCUAACAAUUUUAUUCGACUUUUCAAAUUGUAUUAAGAUAAUAAAAUAAAACUCGAUUAAUUCAAAAUUUUUUUUCCACUCAAAUUGAUUCUAUACGCUUAACCCUACACUUAUGUAUGCUGAUAGAGGGCUUAUACGACUAGCUUUGAUGUAGUCCAGUUAGCUGGAAGUAUGGCUUAAAUUUGACAAGCCAUUUCACAUAUUUCAAAGCAAUACGAGCAUAUAUAUAUUGGUAAUGCGAAAACUGGGGAAGGGAAGCUGUUUCCUGUUUGUAGGAUGAUAAAAUUUGGACCUCCAAUGAAGAGUUCUUUUUUGUUUCAAUGGCGGUUUAUUUGGUUUGAAAAGCUAUUAUGCAGCAGAUACGUUAUUCACUUGCAUUGUUCUACCUCGUUUUGAUACUUUAAAAUUGUUAUUUUACCCACAUAAAUAUAUAUAUAUAUAUUUAACUUUUGAAUGUAUCAAUAUAUCAUACAUUAAUAAAUCUUAAAAUAUUUAAAUGAGAUAUUUAUAAGUUAUUAUUUAAUGAUUUAUAUAUGUCAAAUACAUAUUAAAAUUAUUAAAAAUAAUUAAUAAAUAUUAAUUGAGUAGGGCAAGUUUGGUAAUAAUAUAACGAUGAUAAAUUUGACAAUAUCCAUUUCGUUCCUCUCUAAUACAAUAAAUUUUUUUAUUUAACACGUAUGAAUAGAGAAAUCCUAAAACUUACCAUACACAUAAAUACAUUAGGUAUAGCCCAUAGUCAUCACAUCAGUAAUCAACCGAUUUGCAUAUUCGGACAAUGACUUUCAAUUUUGUUUUAAUCUUUUAAUCUUAACAUAUAGAUGGGGUGAUGGUUAAUUUUCUUUUUAAAAUAGAAUAUAAUUACCUCAUACGAUUUUUUUUUGUCAAAAUAAAUUUUAUUAAUGAUAAAAAGGUUACAAAAAUAAACAUCAAUAACUCUUAAAAUAGAAAAAUUUUCAUUUAAUUUCUUUUAUAAUUUAUAAAAUUUUAAAUUAGUAAUGGUAAAAUUAUUCUUUGACCUCCUAAAAAAUGAUAAAAUUUUGAUUUAAUCAUUUAAAAAUUAUAAAGAUAUAAAAUUAUAUUUUUUACUAUUAUAAAAAUAUAUAAUUUAAUUCUAGCCCCCUAAAAAAAGUUUCUAUCUUCACUCCUGUCGAUAGCAAACAUGCAUCUAUUUGAUACACAAUUGAGAUAUGAUAAAAUAAUUGCAACAAUAGUUAUUAAGAUUUAAAAAGCUUAAAUUUUACUCUUUUACACAAUUGAGAUAUAAUAAAAUAAUUGCAACAAUAGUUAUUGAGAUUUAAAAAGCUUAAAUUUUUAUGAAAGGGAUAUGGUUAUCCUUGGAAUCUUGAAAUUUAAUCAAUGUGGACCUAGUUGAGUACAUGUUGAAUGUUGAUGUUAAACCUUAAAUUGUCCCCCCAGGCCCUUGCUAGGUUGCACUGUUUUGUUUUUGUUAGGCAAGAUAAUUUCUCUGCGUAUUUAGUUACACCAUGGUGUUUCUCGGUGUACCAAUAUAAUUAAUUAAGAUUUCUCACUUUAUAAUUAUUGUAAUACGAUGUCAUGAAAUUACUAAAGAUUAAUUUGUAAAACACGCAUAAAUUCCCCUGGCUAGAUUUCAUCAUCAUGACGGCUGGUUGCAAACAUGAUGGUGAUGAUCAUUGUUCAUGGAGAUCUAGAUUUGGAUGACUAGAUCACGUGGAGAAGAGUUCACGUAAGGCAAUGAAAGCUAUGGUGAAAAUGCAGAUAAACUUGCUAAUUUCAGGUUAAAUUGUUUUGUGGGGGGAUAUAAGCAAUCAUGUGAUUAUUGUUCUUUGACAUGUUGGAGGCUCUAUCUUUGAACUCCCAUGCAAAGAUUUCGUGAGGCACCAUGAUGACAUGAGGCAUUGGAUUCUUCAUUUUGUCAACACAGCAUUCAUUGUUGUCUUUUGUCCAUGCUUGCACCUUAAACCAGAUUAGCUUAAAAACUAAUCCACAUGUAUUGCGUCAGGAAAUUCAAACAUAUAUUGAUUAAAGCUUAGAAGGUGAUUAAGCGGAGACAAGAUAGAGAACAUGAUUAUGGGUUGAAAAUAACCUGUGAAAUUCCAGGAAAUGUUAAGAGAGAGAAAAAGAAAACUGAUGUCCAACGUAUUUAGUACUGAAUGAAGACAAACUCACAAGCUUCCAAAACAUGUUAAAGAAACCAUAUAUUCUAGUUAGCGUUAUUUAAGAAUUGUUUUUAACUUUUUAGUAAAGAAGAUCACAAACAUUGAUGAUAGAAUGGCAAAGGCAAGUGGUGAAUGAAUCAACAUUUUAAUCCAUUUCUUGAUAACUUUAUGUUUGACCCUCAUAAAGUUAGGCACUUUAAAUGGACUUAACUUUUACAAAAUUUUCUCUUUUGCUCUAGUUUCUUCUGGGUUCAAUAUAAGCAAUUUUAACCCAUUCUUUAUAUGGAGGUUAAACUAUUCAUAAACUCCUAAAUUCCAAUUAAUUAAAUUGAAGUAUAUUACACACCUAUUCACAUUUAAACUCGUAGCAACUAUGGCAUACUCGAUAUAUAUCACAGUACCCCAUCGCAACUGUCGUCGAAAUUUCUCUUUUAUCAAACCGGCAUAUGAUUUCACCACCGAGAAGUGGUUCUGUCAUUUCAAAGAGAAUGAUCAUAAACAAACAGCGAUCGUCCUUUUGAAAAUUUUGAGAGCCACUUUAGUUUCUUUGGGGAAAAAUGCCGACUUUAUAAGCUUGAAAGAGUGAUUGUGAUGCGUUACUGCUGGCCGUGGUUAAAACUCUUGAAAAUUUUGAGAGGGGGUUUGUUUCGAAAACAUGGUCCAUUUCGAAUGCUCAAAAAUUUAAAAUGUUGGUUGGUGAGAAAUAACAGGAUGACGUAAGCCCGUUUUCUCCACCACAGUAAUGAUUAUGACUCCAUUUUGUGGGACAAACAGAAAGUCGUGAACUUUGGGAUGAAAUCAAUUCUUUUAACCUUUAUGCUCCACCGCCAACAAAUUCACCAGCUUUUACCCAAGUUACCUGACCUGCAAGACUUUGUCAAAACUCCCCCAACAUUCUUCAAAGUAAAUUAAAUUAAACCAAGGGAAAAGAAGAAGAAAGAAAAGCAGUUAAUUUUCUUGAAAAGUUCAAAUCCGAGGACCCCCCACAAUGUAAGGAGGGACGAUGAUCCAGGAAAUGUUGGGUCAAAAAGCGCAAUAUAUCAGUGUUGCAUUAAAAGAAAAAGUCUGAAACCACUGUAUAAAGUUGACCUGGAGCUAACAGUUUGCUAAACAUACUUUCUUUUUACUAGUCUCAUGGAAAAAUGCUCGAAAAUAUUUUAAAUUUACUAGAUUAAGUUGAAUUUUGAAAUAAUUACAGGAAUAGGUUAAUUUAGGGAAAAUACUUCCGGUUCAGGUGAAAUGUAGAAAAAUAUUUCCAACUUGAAGCUCUUUCAAGUGAAAUAUAGAAAAACACUUCCAGCUGGAAGCGUUUUCAGGUGAAAAACACUUCCAGCUGGAAGCGCUUUCAGGUGAAAUACAGAAAAACGCUUUCAGUUGGAAGUGCUUUUCGCAUGUUACCAGUAAAACGCUUCCAGCUGAAAAUAUUUUUCUCCGAAUUAUAUUAGGGUUCAAGGUUUUUAGGGUUUGUUUAGGAUUUUUAGGGUUUUAGUGGUUUUGUUAUUAGGGUUUUUAAGUAGCAUUGUGUUUAGGGUUAUUUUAGGGUUUUCAGUUUUAAAUUUUAAAUUGAUAAAAUAUUUAAAAUAAUAGUAAUUGUAAUUGUCGAAACCAUUUUUAAAAUUAAAAAAAUGAAAAUUUAGUUGUCGACUUAGAAAAGAAAAUUGAGAGUCGCCACCGAUCUUUUAUUAAGGUGUGAUCGGUUUACCAUUAAAAAUAAAUUUUAGGUCUGCGAGAUUUGAAAAAAUAGGUUCGGGAUUCGGUUACGUACGAGGAAGGGUUAGCACCCUCGUAACGCCCAAAAUUGAUACCGAAUCGAUUGUUUAAUGUCUUAGUGUUGAAACUUUGAAAAGAUUUUAAAAUACGAUCUUUUGAAAAGAAAAUUUGAGUAAAAUGAAUUGGAUGAUAAAACUCACUUAUUUCGAGGAGAUAAAUUGCCACACUCAGUAAGUUAGAGUGCGACAGUUCAAUCUUCGAAAUUAGGUAUAUCUUUUAAAUUUUUAAAACUCGCGUAUUUUAAUUUGAUAAAGAUAUCUGGUUAUUUGAGUCAAACGGUAAGUUAAAACCCAGUAAGUUAGGGUUUAAUUUCUCGAGAUUCAUAAACACCAAAUAUUGCCUUUAUCCUAAAAAUCCUUAACUGGAGGUAGUAAAGUUGUCAGAUCCAGUGAGUUAGGGUCCAACAUUUUGAAGUCCCGAGAAAAUUUAUUUAAAAUUACGGUUUUAUUUUAAAGACAUUGGCCACCUAAAUUCAACGAAGAAAAUCGAAGCCCAGUAAGUUAGGGCACAAUUUUCUCGAGAAUCAUUGGAUGUAGGGUAUUUUGGAAACUUAAAACUAUUUCGAUAUUUUAGUAAAAUACAAUCUCUUAAACAAUGUAAUAUGGCUAAAUGUUUUCCUAAAAUGCGAAAAGGAUAAUUCAAAGAUAAAAUGUACAUCAAUGAACAAUAAGCAACCAAUGAACAAAUACGAACAAGCAUGAUAAUAAUAAUUCCAAACAUACAUCACACAAAUAUCAACAUUGGCUAACAAGAGAAGGCUAAUUAAAGGUCAAGCGAAUUCACAUAGCUCAAAUGAAAUAUAUAAGCUUAAACCUAAUUUAAAUAAAUUAAAAAAGUUGAAACAAAUUUGAAUGAAUUAACAAUGUUUAAAAUAGGUUGUUAAAAUGUUUGAGAGAAAUAAAAUAUCUAUAUGAUAAUGUGAAAUUAACAAUGGAUUAUGUACGUAUGUAUGUAUAUAUGAUGAAAAUAAUUCAAUAUAGAAUAAGUAUACAUAUGUAGUAUUAUCACAUAAUAAUAUUACUUGAAAAUGUAUAUUUAUAAAUCUAAGAUAGGUAAUGAGUGAAUUUAUAAAAAAGCACACUUAAGAUAAAAUAAAUUUAAGAAAAUAUUAAUAAUAGUAUGUCCUAAAAAAGGGUAAAUAUAUGUAAAAUGUUGAAAGAAACCUUAAAAAGAUGCAUGCAAAAUAAAAUAAUGCAUAUAUACGAAAAGCGAAUAUAUAAAAAUGAUAAUAAAUAUAAUAAUGAUAAAUAUACGUAGGAUAAUACUAAUAAUAAUAAUAACAAUAAAUUUGUUAAUAAAAAAACUGAAUAAUGAAAAGAGUUAAAUCACAAUCGAAAUCGAAUUAUCAGGAAAUAAAUAAGAUUAAGCUAAAAUUGAGGGCCAUACUGCAAUGUGUGGAUUACAUGGGGGCCGAUUGGGAAAUAUCUCGCUUCCCCAAAACGCAGCGUUUGCAAGCUGGGUCGAAAUGCAGCAAUGACAAAAUGCAGAGCCAAAAUUAAAAAAAAUAAAAGGACCGAUUUAACGCUUCAUGAAAAUGGAAGGGACCAUUUACGCAAAUCAUCCAACAGAGGCCAGAACGCAUGGAUCCUUCCCUGGGUCGGGUCACGGCGCGGGUCGUUGGGGUUAAUCGACCAACACGACACCGUUUAAGGGCCACUAGAACAGGCCCUAAACGGUGCCGUUUUACACGCUAUAAAAGGGCACCCCAAAACCCUAAAAUCAGUCUGUUGAAAACAGACCCUAGCCACUAUCCUCCUGCACUGUUCGAUGAACCAAUCUCUCAGACCGUUCGAUCCCCACUCAACUCCGAUGACGACGGGGGAAGAGAGGAUGCGGUCACCAGGUACUUUCUUCCCUUCCUAAACUCUCCUUUCGUUGUUUCGCACAUAUAAAAAAAACAGAAAAUGAAAAGAAACAGAGAAGAGAAAGAGCACCAAAAAAAUGCGAAUCACCUUUCCAAAAUUUUUUAUUUCGAUUCCCCUCAAUGUUUUUUUUUUGUUUUUUUGCAUACAAAUAUCUGUGUAUUCUCUCCUUUGCCUUUUUUUGUAUUUCAAUAUGUGUGUCCGUUUUUACAGCAUUUGAAUGGUCUUUUUAUGGCCAGAAUUACAAAAAAAUGAAAAGAAAAUAAAAGAAAAUGCUCCCCCCAAAUCCCCUCUGUUGCCCUAUUCUACUGUCUUUCUCUGCUUGUUUUCGUGUGUAUUUUGCAGGUACGAGGGCAGAGGUCGACGUGGAGGUACGGAGGUAGGGGCACAAGCGUAUAGGGCUUGUCACAUAGCGGUGGUGCACGUGCGAAAAGGAGACUGCUGAGGCGCUGGGCUCAUUUACUGCUAGGGUUUCCGGUGCUUGGGCUGGGUAUUGGGUUUGUGAUACUUAGGUAGGGUUAGGUGACUUGGGUCUUUUGGGCCACUGUAAUCAGGUUCUGAAAAUUGGGUUUGGUAUUUAAAAGUUGGGCUUAUUGUAUUGGGUUGUAACUGGACUGUGGACUUUUAAUUUUUUAAUUUGGUUUUAUUUUAUUCAUUUGUUUAUUAGGUUUAUUUCACUAACGGGUCGGGCAUAUUGGGCCUAUUAUAGUAAUUAUUGAAUUCAAUAUUUAAAAUAUUCGUAUUUACACUAAUUUUAUAUUUGAAUUUCAUUUUACAAAUCGAUUAAAAAUAGAAACUGGGAUUACUCGGUUCAAAUGCAAAACUAGUUUUAAAAUUUUUUGCCUUUUUUUUAAUUCUAGCUUGAUUUGAUAUUUCAAUAAAAUACUUAUCAAGUGCAUUAUUUUUGACAAGAUGAGUUCUAAAAAUAUAUCUUGGGAAUCACGGGAUAUCUGAAAUAUGAUGUGAAAUUCACCUGUUAGUGGGAGGGUUGAAAUUUGUAGAGACAAAAUGCUCUAAGCAGGACACACUGUUAACAAAAUUACUGAAAACGCGUCCAGCUGGAAGCGCUUUGAGCUGAGGUAGCACUAAAAAUGUUUCCAACUGGGCGCGCUUUCAGUACUUCUGCUAACAGUGCGUCCUGUUUGGAGUAUUUUGUCUUUACAAGUUUCAACCCCCUACUAUCUGGGGAAUUUUUUCAAAAUCAAACAGGAGGUCAUCCCCUAGGCUAUAAAUGUAACAUAUUUCAGUCUCUGAUGGCAUAAGUCAUUAUGAGGAAAUAAAAUUUUAAGAAGUUCAGAAAAAUAGAAGUUCGCAAGGAAGGCAUAAGCUGGAGCGACGAUACUAUUUGUAUAAAAAGUAAGCAUAAGCAUUGAUUUUUGUUGUUAAUAUUUAUUUGAAGCAUUAUUUUUUUGCAUGAUUUUUUUUGUUUCGAACUUCUCUCGACAGAUAAUUCAGUUCAAAAUGAGUGGACGGAUUAAUGAUAUUAUUUAUUACGACGGUGAGGUCCGUAACACUGAGAACGACGUGGUUUUUUUAUCGAAGAACACAAUGCGGAUGACAUUUACCUAGAACAUUGCUAGAACUCUAGACAAGAGUUAGGUGAAAAAUCAUCGAAACCAACCAGAUGAGAGUAUCAUCUUUUAAGUAUAGAUUUUGUGCUUCGAUCGACCCCGUGAGAUAUGACGUUUUCAAUAUUAAAGGUGCUAGGGGCUUAAAGGCGAUGAUACAGACACAUAUCGAUAGUGGAUCACCGUUUCUCGAGUUAUAUAUAGAAUUUUCAAGGGCAGAUGAAGGCCUUCGAAUGUCGACAUAUGUUCCUGUUCGAGAGGUCAAAAUGGUUGAAAAUACAGAUAGUCCAACGACACAGUUGUGUGGCGGGUUCACUACUUUGUUAGAAAGUUCUCAUUAUGACAUCUCGAAAUCAUCGAUAGGAAGACACUCAUCCGUCUCGGCCUUAGAUUUCAACCCUGGGAGGUAGAACACCGAACAAUCAGGUUUUAGUGGUAGAACGGAAUACACGACCCUUGCACAACACUUAAUUAGUGGGUUAGACAUGAACUUCGGUCAAUCGAUGUUCAACGUUGGGAAUACUUACUGGAGAAUAAUAGCAACUUCCAACGGUUGGCAAUCGACAAGUGAUUCUAGACUUUUCGACAACUACACAAGAAGAGAUGAUGUACUCCUUACGAUGUCCACUGGCGAGGAGACAUCUAACACGACAGAUGUUGGCGGGUCCGAGAAUAAAGAUGGAAAUGAAUCUGAUGCCGAUCCAGUCCAGGAGAUCAGUGCCGACGGUUUAUAAAUUGUAUUAUUUUCUAAACCGGAGUCUAUUUUAACUAAAUUAGAAGACGAUGAAAGGGGUGAAGAUGAAGAAGAAAAAUAUCCAUGAUUCACGGUGUACUCACCUUCAGCCCACAUGCAUAAUGUCAACCUAUUGUCAGAAGAUGGGUUGGAGUUUGCAAAACUACCAUAAAAGAGGCCGAACUACGCGAGUUUUUCGUUGGAUUCGGGCGAUUUGGAAGUGGGCAAGGAGUUUUUCACUAAAGAUAGUUUUGUCGCUAUAGUAAAGCGAUACAACAUCAAGAACGAGGUUAACUUCCACGUUGUUAAAUCCUAAUCUAAGAAGUUCAAGGCCAAGUGUGCAAUACUAGACAGUAGAUGCACAUGGAAAAUCAUGGCUUAUGUUAAGAAGAAGACAUGGUUGUGGACGAUAAAAAGUUUACCGCUCUACAUACGUGUGUUACUACUGGUACUGUAUUAAUACUGGUAUAGAUUAUGACAUAGUUGAAUUACUAAAUUUAACGUACUCGUGGCGUUGUAGGUAUUUUACGAGAUCAUCCAAAGUUGGAUUCAGAGAUGAUCAUAGGCAUAAUACUACCGAUGGUAAAAGUAAGUCCUAAGAUUAUUGUGUCUGGUUUAAUUACAAAUAUUUAUAGUCGAUUCAAUUACACGCCAUCGUACCGCAAAGAGUGUGCAACAAAGCAGAAGGUAUUUAAGAAGAUGCACAAUGGGUGGGACGCGUCAUACAACGAGGUAUGACAGUGGUGUCGGGUGUUGGAAAGGUACGUCCCAAGUUGCGUAACUGAUUUGGAAACGAGGCCCGUGUACCACAACGAUUGCUAGCUCCAUGGAUGUCAAGUGUUCCAUUGUUUGUUUUGGACUUUCAAGUAAUACUCUCAAGCAUUCCAGUACUACAUUCCAGUACUCAUCAGCUGUUGUUGGCUAUGGAAUAGGAUGGCAAUCAGAGAAUCCUUCCAAUUGCGUUUGCAAUAACUCUAGGGGAGUCAGUAGACGACUGGGUGGUCGAUGAUUGCGCGUUAGAUUCUUUCUUGAUUCAGCAUCUGGUUGGGGUUGUGGUCAUUCCUUCUUCGCCUUCAGUUGACUGCGAUUCGUACAUUCUCGGUUGCUAUCGUGCACACUUUGUUCUAGAAAUAAGUGAUUGAGAAGAUGGCCUACUUUGGUAGAACAAAGAUCUCGAAGGUGUUUGCGUCCCAAAUGGUGAAUGAGCAUAACUAUGUUGAGUUCCAUACACCGAUAGGAUAAUAAGUAGACUCUCCGUCGGUGCCUGAAACACAGAUGGCCUAUAUGUCGUCAUUAGAAAAGUAGAUGACAUGGGCGUGUAAUACAUCGGGGAUGGAUGUUCAAAAGUCCAACUUGACAUAAGAUUAGAAGUAGAAAAAUAUGGUGCAAUAUAUGGUACUUGUGUGAAGAUGAUAGGGUUAGAAUACGCACUAGAAUAAAAAUGUACAUACUGACCGGUGGGUGGUGUGAGCAUUAGUGUCGGUUCUUGCGUGGGUGCUCAUAAUAAAACCCGCAUUAAUAGUUCUUAGAUUUAAAGGGGCCAAUCGUGGCUUACUUGUAUGGGGAUGCAGAUGCCUUGCCUCGUCCCUAUGCAAAUAUGACUUGCAAUGGAUCUUAAACAUGGCAUGUACUUCGAAUCGUAUGCUAACUCCGGAAUGACAAUUAGUUUGCGAGUAGGUAAGAAAUCAUACCGAUUAUUCCACAUAUUGAUAUGUUGAUAGUGGAAUAUCGGCCAAUUCUCAUACGUCUGAUCCCGUAAGUCGAUUGUCAAAAUCUGAAUCGCCGCAACACUCUAUCAGUCUCGUGCAUCUUGACGAUAGCAUACACUACCAAUGAGACCUUCACGUGCUAAAUGUUCGGAUUCACAAAGAAUUAUUCGGGGAUGACUUCUUGAAUUGUCGGAUCCUCGUAUGGUGUCCAUUCAAACUAUAUUAACAUGGUAAAAAUAUUAGUUAUAUAUAUACUACUAAAUAUGAAAUCGAUUACAUUAAUAUUAUAUAGUUCAAAUUUAAAUAAAUAGAUACCUCCUCUUCCGAUCGUUAGUCUAAUUAAAGCCAUAUAUCUUAAAGCUUAAUAGGUAAUCCCACAUGACUCGACCUAUGGUUCCACCUAUUUAAAUAACUUGUUAGCAUAAUAAUCUAAAAUUAAAUCAAAUUUAUUAUGGUAAUAUCUAAUGAAUUUUACCUUGUUACAAGUGAGAAUUUAUAUGGGUAGUUUGCUCGAGGACGUAAAAAUGGCAAUCGGUACCGCACCCAUGAUUGCAGUAGUAGAAUGCAACCACCAAUUUUGAUUUUUCAUAGUUGCGUCGGCCAACACAUCUCUGUAUACAAUGUCACUAACACAGCGAACCCUUAACUAAGUUUACCCACUCCUCUAAAGUCAACGAGUUUCAGUAGCCACCUUAGAUGGACGAGUGUAUGUGACUUGUCCUGCAUUAGGAUACCCCCGAUAAUCUGAAGGAUAUACGCCCGAGCGUGUCGCGUUCUCUUUUGAUUUCAAUCGAAUUCUCAUCCAGCCGUACAAAAUUUUUUGUAACCAACUCAUUUCGAGCCGAUCUCCGUAAAUCAUUUUCAGAACCGAACACAAAAGUUCACCACAUACACCUUCCCAAUCAACAAAGUGAACAGACCCAGUGACUACCAACUCAUCCAUCGGUAACCCCAACUGUAAAUCCACGCCAUCUAGAGUGAUAGUACACUUGCCAUAUGGAAUAUGAAAUGUGUGUCUCGGGUCUCUACCUCUCCACCAAUGCGCUUACGAGUUUCAGGUCCAACUUACACUCCUGGCCUACAAGGGCCAUGUGCCAAAAACUGACAUCCCUCAAGUACAGUUCGAUCAACGGUGGAGGAGGAGCGGGUAGAUUACGAAUAUGGAAUUGUAAAAUUUGAUAUUCCGCCUAUUUACGUAAAAAAAAUAUAAAAUAUCAAGUUAAAAUAUAACAAUAAAAUAAAAAAUUAAAUAAAAUUAAAUUUUAUUAAAAAAAUAUUCUUACCAUUUGCAAUUGACUAACAGAAAUGUGUUUGUCAUCAUGACGGAUUAGAGAAUCGGCCAUUGCUAAUUAUAGAAAGCGAAUUAAUUUUUAAUAAAAAAAUAUUAAUAAAAAUUCUAAUAAAAAUAUUUUUAAGAGAUAAAUUUUGAUGUUUUCUUUAAGCAUUACAUAAAAGAAUUCAUCACUAAGUGAUAAAUUUGUUGCAGUCCUCCUAUUCUCACUAGACUUAGCCAAUGAGUUUGCAAACUUAUAGCCUCCCUAAACGUAUGGCAGAAGCUCACUUUAACAAUUUUGCUGGCCAGAUUAUCCACGUCAUUGAAAAUAUUUAAACCUCCACGAACUUUGAGACGAGUUUGAACACCAUGAAAGAAUAGGGGUAAUAAGAUUCCAUAGUCAACUUCAUCUCGUCUUUCCAUUGAGAAUUAAGACAGAAUUGCAAGGCAAUAUUGAUGGCACAAAGUUCGACUUGUUCAAUAUUUUGAUUAUGGAAUACAUGUUAAUUUUUAAAAAAACUGAAAAUUUUGGGUAAGAAUAAGUUUCUAAUAUCGUAGAGCUGAGCUCUAUAGGUUUAGUUGAGAAUGUAAAAAUCAACACUCUUUCAAUUCUAAGACACACUGUAUAUAAUUUUGAUACAAAGGUUGAUCUUUUGAUUUUAAAGAAAAAAAUUUAAUUCAUAAUUAUGUUGUAAAAAAUGAAAACUAUAUAUUGCUGGAAGCAAAAUGGAACUAAGCAAUUGUUAUAAUAUUUUUUUUAUAAAUUUGAUAAUGUCAUUUUAGCAAUGGACUAGGCUUGAAGAUAAUUUUUAGAGGAAGGUGGAUUUGAAUUUACGAGUUGUGUGUUCUUUCAAGAAAAAUAUUAGCUUUGGGGCAUCGAAACUUGUGCUUCGGAACAAGUUUAGAUGCUUAAGUUAGCAGAGGAGAAGUUGGAUAAGGAAACAAAAAAGUUUAGGCUAGUGGUAAAGCUGGUAGUGUAGAUAGAUGGGAAUGAGUUGUAGGUGGGUAUUUAUACUUGGUUUUUGGGCUACUCAACAGGUUUUCUAAAGAUUAUUCAUUAGCCAGUCAUCUAACCAUGUUGGCGUGGUAGUCUACCUUGUGACUAAUUUCUGGUCUUGCAACCUUGAUUACCAAGGGUUCUUUUUUUCUAAGGGUGAUGAUCCUAGGCAACUGUUUGUUAUCUCAACUCUCAAGUGGCUCGCUCUUUGGCCACUAAUAGGACAAGCUAGGUGCUUGGGGCCUUUUAGGCCUAAGUUUUCUUCAAGUUGUAGCAUGCUUUAGAAAUAGGUUAUGACCAUGUUCAUAAGUUGGUAUAGCAAUUAUCUCCCCCUUAAGUAGGAGGCUGGUUAUAAAGUGGCCAAGCGAGGACCUGGUUGACAUCAUCAGUUAAGUUUUAGCUAACCAGCUUCUUAUGGCAUAUAUGGAUGACAUAAUUCUAAGCGGUGACUCAACUGAGAUUGGUGAUGUGGUUCAAUAACUUCAUACCCAGUUUUCUUUGAAAGAUCUAGGUGAACUCAACUAUUUCUUUGGUGUGGAGGUUCACAAGACAACAACAGGUCUUUUUCUCAAUCAGAAGAAGUAUGUCCUAGAUCUUCUUAACAGGACACAUGCUCGACGCAUCUUCUACACCUACUCCUAUAGUUGGGUCUCCAAAGUUGACAGCUUUUGCAGUCAUGCCCUUUGAAGAUGGUUAGAUGUACAUAAGUGUCAUAGUGCUCUUCAGGUUGUCUUACUCGACCAGACUUGGCUUACCCAGUCAACAAGCUGAGUCAAUAUAUGAACUCUCCCCUUGACACUUACUGGAAGGCUGUGAAGAGAGUUCUUAGAUACCUCAAGGGUACCUUAGAGUAUGGAUGGUACUAUACAAAGGGUGAAUGUGCACUUGCAUGCUAUACUGAUGCUGACUAGGCAUCUAUUGUUGAAGACUAGCGCUCUACUUCAGGUUAUUGUGUGUACCUAGGAAACAAUCCUAUUGUUUGGAGCUCGAAAAAUCAGUGUAGUCUCAAUGUCCUCUUCAGAAGCUGAAUGUCGCAGCUUAGCCAAUUCAGUCUCUGAGGUGAUAUGGGUUCAACAAUUGCUUUCAGAAAUGGGUGUUGUAAUGACAAGGAUAUCUACUGUUUGGUGUGAUAACACCUCAACAGUAUCAAUGGCUGCCAAUCUCACUCACCAUGGUCGGAUUAAGCAUGUAGAAAUUGACUUACAUCUUGUUAGGGGGAAGGUGCUUGAUGGGAAGCUGCAGGUGAAUUUUAUUCCCUCAGAGGAGCAAACUGUUAAUGUAUUAACUAAGCCUAUUACAGCAGCUACAUUCUCUAGCCUCAGACAUAAACUUAGAGUACUUCCUUGGACGGUAGUGGUUGAUUGUCAACAAGAUACAUAAAACCAGGAGAAUGUUAGACUAUGAGCUAUUGAGUCUGUUGAGUUGGUUAGUUGUUCCAACAGCUGAACUGUUAUCAGUUAGUGCAGCUGGUCAGUUAAAAGUUAGUUACUAGUAGUUAUGUUAGUUCAUGUCUGUUUCUCGUUAAUAUGAUUCUCUUUAUUUUCCUCUACUUUCUCAGCAUCCAAACAGUUUUCUUGUUUCAUUUCUAAGCUUGUUUUAACAGUUGCUAACAUCAGAAAUGUUAGAUCAGUUAGAUAGCUUUGAUUCCAGUUAAGAAAGAAAAGAUGCCAGCCAGAUUAGACUUGUUUAAUAUUCCAUGGUUAGUAAUUCAGAAAUUAAACUACCAGAUUAAAUGAUAGCAUAAGUCAAAUAUGAACUCUGAGAAAAGAAUAUUAAAUUUGCCUAGUGUUUUCGAAGAGCUAUCGCUGCAUAUUGAUAUAUACCCAUGCAUAUUUAUUAGUGUCGGUGGUGGUUCUCAUCUUUGUGUGUCUAUCUCACGUCAUACAUACGACUGUAAUUUAGCAAUAGCUCGCCAAAGUGAUGACCAAACUCCAAUGAGGAGAAUGUGCCUUUUUCCAUGGACAUAAUAAUGUUCCUCAACGUGGCAGCAGAAAACACCAUGCAUUUACACAUAUGUAAUGUCUUAAUGAGAUUUAAUUGUGGUAAAUUUCUCUAGAAGGUGAAUUAUAGGUUGAUCAUCUUAAUUUUUAUAAUUAAGACUCUUUACCCUGUUUCCCGAAGUUACAUCUCAAUUAUCUUUACUUUACAUUAAAAAUUAACAAAAGUUUAAGUGCUGGUUCAAUAAACUAAGGCCUAGUGGAUGACUUUCAACCUAACUGCCCCCCCCUCCCCCACUUGCAAUUAUCAUGGAAACUUAAUAAUAAACAAUAGAAAUUAUGUGAUUAAUAACAACAAAGUAGAAAUGAAAGUUUUAAAAUCAUAUUCUAUAACAGUGAGGUAAUAUUCAUUUUCUUUUAGUAAAACAUUUUCUUUAUUUUUUCUUAGAUUUCCUUUUACUGUAUUAAAAAAAUGAUCUAAAUUCCUUUUGUAUGACUUUUGUAGCCCUCCAGAUAUGUCUAGGAUCAUUUCCAACAUUCGUCCAAAAUCAUAAAAAUAAAAAAAAUUCCCUGAAAUCAUUUCCAACAUAUGUAGGCACAACAUAGAAAUUAAUCAGAUGAGUGUUGUUUAUCUCAUGACAUUUAAUUAUUACUGCUUUUUUUUUAUUGAAUAACUUAAGGUGUUGUUUAAUGCCCCAUGCAUAAUAAGCCAAUCAAUCAAGAUUUGAUGCUUUGAUAUACGAUCCUAUCAUUUCAUAAACUACUCAAUGACAUGGCCAAUAUUGGAUGUUCAGUAAUGGAAUCGAUCAUGUCAUUUCCUUUUUCUUUUUUGUCCUAUGCAUUGGGAACAGUUUAGUAGCACAACAUGCAUAUUGGGGUUGAUCUGCGAGGAUUUAUGAACUAGUUUUUGCCUUUGUUUGACCAAACCUUAUAUGAGAGAAAUUGAAAUUGUUUUAAACAGCUAAACGUUGACCUUCGCCAUCCCUUGCAGGAAGUUCAAUGAGAGGUUAAGUAUAUGCAUUAGUUCAUUACCCUAAAAGAUGUCAGGGAAGGUCAGAUUUUGGAAGCCCUAUGAAGUUUUUAAUGCUGUUAGGUCUCCUGUCAUACUACGAUGCUGAAAAAAGUUGAAACACUUGGAACAGCAAUUUUCAACAUCAGUGCUUUUCAAUGAACAAUUCUUGAUUAGACUUUCCUUGUAUGAUUGAAAAUGUUGGUUAAGCAUAUUGAAGUUUCUAUUUCCAGAUACAUAAACUCGUCGGAGAUCAAAUUCCCAACACAACAUAUUUCAGUCAUAUAUAAUUAAUAUCGAUACUUAUAUAUACAAUUCAAUUUCUAAUUUUGUUAAAAGCUAUUGAAUCUUAUAUACGCUUAUGUACAUCACAAACAAAAGGGAAACUGAAAGAUGAAUAUCAUAAAACUGAAGCUGAAACUUGCCACACCUUAAUAUCAUAGUCCAAACUCCCACUGCAAAUCAUAUAAGUAAUAGUUUCAGAAGCACCUUCUUCUUCUUCUUCAGUAUUUGUAUUACAUGUCAAGCAUUUAACUGGCCUUGUGUGCCCUUCCAAAACUGCCAAGCAACAAUAGCUUUUGUCGAUUCCUCUCCUCCAAAUCCUCAUUGUUUUAUCUGCUGAUCCGCUGCAUAUCAAAUCCGUCACAACCGCCAAGCACAAGAUUGCCUUGGUGUGACCUCUAAGUGCACCCAACAACACCAUCCGCCACUCACCGUCGCCUCCCUCGCUUUCUCUUUCCCAAACCAGAAUCGAUCUGUCGCAUGCACCGGAAUAAAGUACGGUCCCAUCGUUACUAAGAGCCAAAGCAUUAACAGCUGAUUUGUGUUUCUCCAGUGUUAAGACCAGGGAAUGGUUGUUUUUACUUGCAUGCUUCUUCCAUACCUUAAUCCUCUUGUCUGCUGAACCUGUAUGAACAAAUCCAUCUCUAGACAAUACUAUGGCAUUAAUGGCAUCAUCAUGCGCGUUUUGCACUGAUUCCAAACACUUGAAAUCCGAUGUCCGCCAGAUUUUGAAUGUCCGAUCCCACGAGGCAGAGUAAAGGAGAGAACAAUCUGUUGAUAUUGCCAGAGCAGAUAUUGUAUCAACGUGAUGUAUCCAUGUGCAUUUCUUGUGACGCCGGACCUGCACGUAAUUCUUUUCCGAGAAGCAUCUCAGGAAACGAUCGUUCAACGUUGGGAGAGUAGCUAAACAUUUAUACUUGUGAUGUUCGUGGUUAUGAAUUUUCCAUACACGGAUUUUGUUAUCUUGGUGGGCACUGAUAAGCUUAUCUCCUAAAACCACCAGAGACUUAACUGCACUGUUGCUAGUAGCCACCACAAUGUUAUCAGUUCGAUCACCAUGCUCGGAAGAAUCCAGCCUCCAUGCUCGUAUCUCACCGUUUGAAGAGCCAUCGUAUAGGACCUUCCCGGCAAGAGCGAGGGUGAAGACAUAGGAGUGGUUUUUAAGGGUGGCUAUGCACUUAUGAUGGAUGGCUGGGGUCUUUUCAUCAUGUCGGUGAGAUGUUGAAGCAAGGGAAGGAACCGAUGGUAAACUUGGUUGAGAGGAGAUGGAAGGGGUUGAUGAUUCCGAAUGAAGAUGAUAGGAGCCAGACUGAGAUUCGUCGUUUCUGUGGCAAGACAAGUGACAUGGAAGAAUCCCCAUAAAUCAUCAAAGCUGAACAAAACAAGGAACAGUUAAUAAGCUUAUAUGAUGAGGGUGGUUAGUAUGUCAACAUCUUCAUAGAUGCAUCACCAUGAUGGUAGGCUUAUUAUGCAAAACAUGGCAGCAGAAAGACAAAAAGAGAGCGAGCCAGCGAGGUAUAUGCUUGGGGUAGGGAGAAGUAGGCAUGAAGAUGAGUAAGUAAUAUGAGAGCAAUGCGCAAUCUUUUUGCCGUGUUAUUGAGAAAGAACCAGAUGCUUCCAUUAAAUAGUUAGAAUUCAAGUUUUGGAAUUUAAUACUCUUUUCUUUAGUUAUCGGUUGUUAGGAGCAGCUCACAUGAAUUGUCAUGCCAUUCGAGGGACCAGAAAUUAAGCUCAUUGGGUUCCACCAUUGAAGUAAUAUAUAUCAUGCAUUUAACCCAUGUUUGUAAGUGUGUGUGCUCUAACCACUGCUGAUGUACGCCCUCGUCUUCUAUUGGGAUGUGUUUUUUUAAAAGGAGAUUUCUAGAUAAGGUUUUAGGAUCUUGGAUGUUCUCAUCUUGAAGGGUCCAGUUGCACAGUCUGUUUUAAUUUAAGUGGACUGGAUUCUCACGUCCAUACACAGUUUUAUAAGUCAGGCUUCUUCUUCUUCUUCCUGGGUAUUCUGAGUAUAAGCUAGGCUUCUUAGGAUGGACAUUUAGGAGUUUUUCAUGAGCCAUUUGCAUGGAAUUUGUUCAAUUCAUAGGUUUCAUUCGCUUCAAUCAAGUAUUUAUAACCUUUUGGUUAGACUCAGCUCCAUUCUUUCGAGGUUGAGGCUGUAAAAAUUGAUAUUUUUUAAUAUUUUAUAUAUUUUUAUAGGAUAAUUGUAAACUCUGACUCUAUCCACUAACAAAUUAAUUUACUUCAAUAACAUUUUAAAUUUGGUUGAGAAAAAAAUAUUUAUAUUAAAAUGUUGGGUUAACAUAACAAAUGAGGAUAAUAAAUAAUUUCAUGUCUUCUGACAUGUGUAAAAUAAAAAAUAUUGAAAUACUAUUAAUUUUAUUAAAAUAUAAUUAAAUAUAGAUGUUAAUUUUUUUGAGUUUCUAGCUAUUUAUGUUGAAUAAUUGUAAUUAAUAUUUUUUAAAUAAAUUUAUUUAAUAUUUAGUUCUAAAUCAUUUAAUACUUUUUAUUUUACAUCAAUAAUAAUAUCUCAUCUUAUUAUUAAUUAAUGGAACUGUAAUCUAUAUUUUCCAGAUUAAUAAAUAGUGAUUUAUUUUCCUUCAAUGAACAACCACAAUAAUUAUAUUAUUUGCAACACUAUCUUUGAAUGAUGAAAACAAAUAGAGUCAAAUGAAGCAAAUGUAUAUUGUCCAAAAUCUAUACCAGACAAAAGUCAAUAGAAAAAUUAUAUAACAUUUUAAAUAAAAGUGACUAUUUUUGUAAUUUACCUUAUAGAAAUUAUAUUUACUGAAAAUAAUUAUAUUUGACUGAUUUCAUAAAUAAAAGAGUUAUUAAUUAAAAAUAAAUUAAAAUAAAAAACUUAAAAAUAAUAAAUUUUUUAAUUAAAAUUAAAAAAAUAUCUUGAAACAACAUGAAAUAAAAAUACAAAUAUUCUUAAAAGAGAAAUCAAACUUGAGACUUGAAUAUAAAAUCACUAUUUUUUAACCAUGUAACCAAAGAAAUUAAUGUGUUAAAAAUAAUAAUUAAAAAUAAAAACAAAUCUUAAAACAACAUGAUAUAAAAAAUAUAAAUAUGAUUAAGAGAGUAAUCGAACCCAGAACUCAAGUACACAUGUUUAUCUUUCCAAAAAUAUAUAUAUAUAUAUAUAUACAUCUCCCACAAAUUUACUAACAAAUUCUCACAGCACUGUUCAAAACAUCAAAGUCACCACAAUAUUCUGCUUUAGUCCACUCGGUAGACCUUUCUUAUUAAGAUUUUCUUGAGUAUUUUAAAAUUUUGAAAAUGAUUAAAAUUUUCAAUAAAAAUUUCGUAAAAUAAUUUAAAAAUAAAUAUGUAAAAUUUAUGUUAGAUAUUAUUAAUAUCAAAAGCUUCAUAAAUCAAAACUAAUCAAUUUUAAAUUCAAAAUUUUAUGAUAAAAAUAAGUAAUCAACUCAUGCCAAUCCAUUUUAAUUAUUUAAUUUCAUUAAUAUUAUAUAUAUUUUUAAAAAUAUCUAUAAAUUUAAAAUUGUAAUAUGCAAAGUAAAUCCGAGAUUAGUGAAAUUUUGGAUUCAGCAUUCCCACAAUGCUCCUUAUUCCAUCUCCUAAGGAAGCCUUAAGUGUUCCUAAACAUCCCACAACUCUUUCAAUUUAAGUGAAGAACAUAGGUCCCCAAAUCAAUAGAAUUUGGAGGGAGCAAGCUUUCAGACCAAAAAGCCAUUAACUGUAGAAACAAAACAAAAUAUAAGGGAAAUGUUUAAAUUAGUGGAGCCAAUGAAAAAGUACAUCAUUUUUAGAAGAAUGACAAAUCAAUUCUUAAAAACAAUCGAGAAAAAGACAAUAAUAUGAAAUCACGUUUUCAUGCUGACAACUAUAAUCUCACUACAUUAACCAUAAAAUAUAUCAACUCCAAUCCAUUCUUUUAUCCGCAAUAGCAAGUGGAAUCUAGACUGAAAUAAUUUAGUUCACGUGCCACGAGCUGACGUACAUCCCUGUCGUCUUCCUCGUGUUUGCUACCCAAACAAGAUCCCCAGAAGAACAAAUCUCUACUUACAUUGCUAACCAGACAACAGCAACUUUGAGUUGUUGAAGGAACCUACUAGAGUCCUACACCAGCACUGUAAAGCAGAUGGAUGGCUGUUUGGAGGCAUCCCUUUCCCCUUUGAGUAUUCCAGAAUACGUUUUGGGUUGCAGUGGCAGGCGAAUGCCGCUUUUGGGUUUCGGCACUGCUGCUUCUCCGCCCGUCGGAUCACAACUUACCAAGACCGCCAUUCUCCAAGCCAUUGAACUUGGUUACCGGCACUUUGAUACAGCAAGUUUAUACGGGACAGAGCAACCACUGGGUGAAGCAAUUCUAGAAGCAAUUGCAGUUGGGUUAAUUAAAUCUAGAGAUGAACUCUUCAUCACUUCCAAGCUCUGGUGCAGUGAUGCCCAUGGGGAACUUGUCCUUCCUGCCCUUCAUAGGAGCUUAAAGUAAAACACUACCACUCUACCACCUUAUAUUUCCUCUUUAAUUACCGCCUUUGGUAAUUGUAUAAAUUGUUUGUCCUGUAGAAAUCUGAGGUUGGAGUAUCUUGAUCUCUAUCUCAUUCACUGGCCAGUAAGUUCAAAGCCAGGGAUUUAUGAGUUUCCAAUAAAGCGGGAAGAUUUCCUGGCGAUGGAUUUCAAGGCAGUAUGGAAAGCUAUGGAAGAUUGUCAAAGGCUUGGUCUUACAAAGUCUAUUGGAGUUAGCAAUUUUUCCUGUAAAAAGUUGGGUGACAUCCUUGCCUUUGCUAAAAUCCCUCCAGCUGUUAACCAGGUAAGAACUCUCCCUUUCUCAAGCCCACUCCAAGCUGCUUUCGACUUUGAAUAGCAAUGAGGAAGUUGUUCUUAAUGUUUUGCAAGGUGGAAUUGAACCCACUGUGGCAACAAAAGAAGCUAAGAGAGUUUUGCAAGGCUAAUGGUAUCCUGUUGACUGCUUAUGCUCCACUGGGAGCCCAAGGUACCAUUUGGGGCAGCAAUAGAGUUUUGGAGUGCGAAUUGCUCAAGGAAAUCGCUAAGCAAAAAGGGAAGACAGUUGCUCAGGUGCAUUUUGCUCUUUUUGUUUCCUCCAUUCUUUUAUGAAAACAACUUAGGACUUGAGAUUAUUUGGGAUUGAUUUUGUGUUAUUCGAGAAAGAAGUUCAAUUCUGCUGCUGCUAACAGACUUGGUAUAGAAAAUAAAAAAUGCUGAUUAGUGCAUCCAAAAACAGAUUUGUUUGAGAUGGGCCUACGAACAAGGGAUCGGCAUAUUGGUGAAGAGCUUCAACAAGGACAGGAUGAAAAGCAACCUUGAGAUAUUCAACUGGUCAUUGAGUCAAGAGGAUGUGAAAAAGAUCAAUGAUAUCCCGCAAAGCAGGCUUUGUAGUGGACAAGAUUAUAUCUCCAAAUAUGGGCCUUUCAACACUACACAGGAACUUUGGGAUGGAGAAAUUUGAUUUAAGCAUCUAUGUGGAUGCUUGCUAAAUUUGAUUUUGGUAUGAUAUAUGUUAAAGAUCCUAAGCUAGCUAAUUAUAUAAAUUAAAUACUCUUUGAAUUCUAAAUCAACUGAAUUCAAUUAUAAAGAAAGUGAGAAAACUAAAUAAUUUACAUAUUUAUCUAUUUAAUUUUAAAAAAGGAAAAUUAUUUAAUAUAUUGUACUAAAUACUUACCCUUAUAAAAUUAUAUUCUACUUUGGAUUCACUUGGUAAUUUGGGAGGUUCGACAAGCUCACCUUAAUUUUAGGUGGAAACGUUGCAGACAACUCCUGAAUCAUAAUAUAUUUAAACUCUUCAAAUAACAAUCAAACAUUUUAAGAUAUCACACUUUCUCAAGGAUACUCUUUUCAAUGAUGUUCUAAUUGCUACCAUUAUUAACUACCAAGUUGCAAAUGUUACCUGUAAAGGUGUAUCUAGUUUGGAAAUGUUGUUGGCCUUGGGUUAUAUCUCCAUCCUUAGUGUCAACAUUAUCUUCCCUAUAGCCAAAAUUUGUCCAUCUCCUAAAUCUGCUCCAUCGAGUUUCCAUAUGAUCUCGUUUCCUUCCUCAAGUUCAUCUUCGUAGUCACCACACUCUAUAAUUUUGAUAUCCUUUCUUCUUGGACAAUCAUUAGAGCGAUGUCCGCGUAGAUUACACAAGUAGCAUUUUCCAGGAAUAGACUUAAGUGUAUGGGUUCUUUCCAUGUCUAUGACUGCAUUUAUGUCUUGAUCCCCUUUGCUAACUUCUUUCUCACUACUUUGUCAUAAUUAGAUUUUUGGAUUAAAUUUUCAAGUAUUUAGUUUAUUAUUAUUCUCCAAAUUUGCUAGUGCAGAUUGAUAGCAAUUCAUCUUAGUCCAAUUCGCUUUCUUCUCUUGUAUUAUCAUCUUCACUUUUAACUUCAUAUUUUGUGCUACAGCGAUAUUUGCCAACAUUUGCACAUCAAUUUUGUCUUAGAUUGCAAGUCUUAAUCCUUUAAGGUAUCUGGCUACUUAUUGGCUGUUGGGCUCCAUUAGAUUAUUACAUUUGGUAAGCCUCAUGAACUGAAAAGUGAUAAAAGUAACAUAUUUUAAUCUCGUUCUUAAUGCGUUUUUAGAUGAUUAUUUAUUCAAAUUGAUGAAUUUUAUGCUCCUAAUCCUUUGAAUUCAUGUUUCUAUACUUAGGUGAGCAUUUGGGAGCAAAAGGAGCGAAAAUCAGACAAAAAGAGCAGAUUUCAGGAGCCACACAGGUUAGGCCUUCCCACACGGGCUAGACACAUGGCCAUGUGUCAAACUGUGUCGAUUUCGCAACUCGCUUCCCAAACACGUAGCCAUCAGAGAAGAAGAGAAUAAGGGGCCAUCAAAGAAUAUUGAAGAAAACAACUCGAAGAACAACAUUGGAGCCAUCAGACCUCAUUUUAAUUUCUUUUGAAGUUUUUAUGAGUUUCUUUAUUUCUUGUGGUUAUUCUGACUUUGAGAUGUUUUUAUUCACGAUUAUGAACUAAUUCCUUAGAUACCUAGAGAAGAUGAACCCUAUGAUGGAUUCUAUUACUUGAUUUCUGUUUUACGCUAUAAAUACUUAAUUCUUGUUCUCAGUUAUGUGUGAUUAUUUCUUGUUUUAAUAUUUUCAGGAUAUUAAUUCAUGUUUAAUGUGCUUAAAUCAAAGGAGGAAAAAUCCUUAUUUAAGAGUAGAUCUAGCAUAAUUGAGUGGAGUUGCAUGCAAUCCUAGAAAUAGGACGACAUAAAUCUACCAGAUUAGAGUCAAAUCUAAUAAAGGGAUUCAUAGAUCGAGUUAAUGCGACAAUAGGGGUUUUAAUUAGAAAGAGAUUUCAAUUAAUCAACCUAGAGUCAGUUGCUCUUACUUUCAAAAGAGAUAUUAGCAUAAUUUAAGGAUUUCUACGGAUUAAGAUACCAAGUGAAUAAAUUGUUUAAUUCAGAUUCAUAAUAAUAGAUGAAGUCUAGGUGGAUUCAUUCUUGGGUAUUGUUUCUCUCAUUGGUUAUUAUUCGAUUACUUUCCUGAUUUAUUCUCUAUUGAGUUCUUAGUUAAACUAAUUUAGUAAUUUUAGUUCAAAACCAAUCACUCCAAUUUGUCAACUAAAUAAUAGGAAAAUGGUAAUUACUAAUACUUUUAGUCCUUGUGGAUACGAUAUCUCUACUCACCAUAGCUAUACUAUUUAUCGAUAGGUGCACUUGCCUUUGUCGUAUUUUUAGUUAGUUUCGUGACACAUCAUGAACUAUGUGGUGUAGCCAUGUAUUGAUCUGACUCCUUGGGUACAUCAUUGAUAUUGCUUAUAAUCUAGGGGGAAUCAAACAUUGAGCAAUUGAUUCAUUAUGGUUAUUUUACCCAAAUGACCAAAAAAAUUAAUUAAUUAUAAAAAUGACUCAGGUUCAAAAACAAUCAUCCAAAUGACCUAAAAUGAACAAAAAAUUUGGGUUGGAGGACUUAAGUGGUCGGCACCACCAAAUGAUUGUGUCAAGGGUUAAAAAAAAUUUUGGGGUGCUAGACACUAGAUGGCCAACAAAAAAAAAAUUGGGUUAGGGGACUUAAGUGGCCGACACCACUUUUUCACAUAAAAAAUAUUUUUUUUGGGUGCUGGGACACUGAUGAUCGGCACUCUUGUACCAAAUUUAAAAAAUAGUUUUUUUUUGUGUUGAUACAUUGAUGGCCAACAUCCCAGUACCAAAUUUAAAAUAAAUUUCGGGUGCUGGGACACUGAUGGUUGGCACUCUUGUACCAAAUUAAAAAAAAUAGAAUGUUGGGACACUGAUGGCCGGCACCCCUUCAAUAUAUAUAGUUGUUUUGUCUUCCAUUUGAGCUUUUUGUUUAAUUUAUCAAUUGAAAAUCUAUAUUAAAAAUAUCAGUGUUUUGUUUGUUAAGGUGGAAACAGAAAUUUGUUGAAGAUGAAUUCCUAAAUUCUGUUUGUUUAUGUUCAUUUCGAUGGAGAAAUGAUUAAUAUAGAUGAAGAAGGUUGUAUCUUUCAAAGUCAGCAAAAAAUCAGAAUGAGAUUAAAUAAGCGUGUUUUGCUGAAUUUGAAACAGAAUAUCAGUACAAAGAUAGCUACUCGUUGCGGGAAGCAAAUGUUGAGACUAUUUUAAAAAUUUCUGAUUUCAACAAAUCCGCUCAAGUUCUCAAAAAUAGAGCUUGAAGAAGAUGAUGAUCUAGGGACAAUGAUAGAAAUUUAUUGCUCCCGAAAAUGGAUAAUCCCAACUCGGUUAAGUUGUUUGCGAAGAUAGCUAAACUGAAACUUGUUCAAGUUGUAAUUCCAGAAAUUUAACGUUCUAGAAUUGAUUUUGAUCUUAAUUCUGUUCAGAAGAUCAAUUGGGUUGUAGAGGGUCACUACAAACUCCCGGAAAUCCAAACUACGGUAGAUGUUCGUAAUAUAUCCCAAUCUCGUGUCCUUAUCUAGAGAUUCAUCCAGAGGUGUUGGCUACCAUAGAAUAUGGUGAUGAAGGGUCCGAUAAUGAAGAGUAUUCCCACCAUGAUAGUGAAGAUUUGAGUUACCCUAAUUUGGAUGACAUCCUUGAAGAAAUAGACGAUGAAGGCCCGGUACAUGGUGAAGAUGUACACCCCCAUUCGGUCGGAACACGAGAUCUGGUAUAAUAAUCCAGGGGCUUUCAUGACUAAUGUAGAUCGUGUUGUGUCGCUUGCACGCAAGUUCUUUGAAUAUCCAAAUAUAGUGUCAGCUCACCUAUUGGAUGAAGAAUCAGAAAUUGAAGAGUUGUUCGUAGGACAAAAAUUCGAUAAUAAGAAAGACUACUUACAUGCAAUAAAGCAAUACAGCUUGAAGCAUUCUAUUGACUACAAAGUCAUAAAGUCAACGCAGUUUUUAUAUGUCGGAGAAUGUUGGAAAGCUUCAAGUAGUUGUAACUAGCAUGUUCGAGCUGCAAUAAUCUAAUAGACUCAGUCACACAUUCACGGUUGCUCGUAUGUCGCAAGACCAUCGAAAAUUAGAUGCAAAAACCAUAUGUAACUGUAUCAUCCUAUUGGUGAAAGAUAGUCACACAUUUCCUAUAUCGACUCUUAUUACAGACAUGCAAGCUCAGUUCAAAUACAGAGUUUCCUAUAAGAAGUCAUGGUGGGUGAAGCAAGUGGCGACGAAGCAGUUGUAUGGUGAUUGGGAUACGUCAUACAAUGAACUUGAAGGGUAGAUAUUUGCGAUGCGGGAGUAUGUGCUGAAAACGGUGACUAAUUUGCAAACACUGUCACAUAGAGGCCUAGAAAGCAUGAUAGAAUCAAGGAAACAAGUUUCCAACGAUUGUUUUGGACAUUCGAGCCGUAUGUUAAAGUGUUCCCUCACUGUAAGCUGUUAGUGUAAAUAGACAGAACCUCGCCCUACGGCAAAUACACGCCAAUACUCCUAAUUAUGGUUGAACAAGACGGCAACCAGAAUGUACUUCCUAUCGCUUUUGCCAUCGUAGAGAGUAAGAACUUCGAGUCUUGGAAAUUUUUCCUGUUAAAUAUGUAAGGCUCGUUGUCAGGUAAGAUCACAUUUUCCUUAUCUCGGCUAGAUUGAAUAGGCUACUUACUGCGGUAAGGCGUUCAGAGGUUCUGUAGAGGUCCGUUUAUUGCAUCUGACACAUCGCGUCAAACUUCCACAGAGAUCAUAAGAAUAAAGAAUGGUGUAGAGAAAUCGUGAACAUGGGUAAAAAAUAUUGUUCCAAAAUUGAUUUGUUCAUAUUUUAUUUUUAUGAUAUGUUUGUAUUUUUUUCAAGAUUUAUCAGUUUUUAGUUUUAAUUUUUUUUUCUAAAUUUAUAUUGUUUCAAAAUUACAUACAUAGGGUAUGAGUUAGAAUCGCAAAGAUUAAGGCAAAAGUUCGUGAGACUUGAAGCUCAGAUGAUAUCGCUACCCAAAAAUUGUCAUCUCCGGUAGUAGUUGAGUAGAAUGGAGAACUGGAAGUGGAGUCAGUAUGGUCAGAUGACGACCAGCCUCAUAGAAGCGGAUAACUCGGUCCUGAGGCGUACACAACAUCUGCCAAUUUCUGAUGUUUUCUCAGCAGCAUUCUAUAGACUGGCCACAUUGAUGCCAAGGAUGGGGCUGAGACAAGUAAAACAGAUAGAGACCGAGCACGUGUAUGUUGAGACCGUCCAAAAUACCAUGACACACCCAAACACUCUCAUUUGAUGGUAAUCUCAAUAAUUUUUUUCCCAUCAAAUUACAAUACCACAACCCAAAGAAAUUCUGGUACCGGGCAUCAGUGUCACAGCACCAAAAAAAUAUUUUUUUUAAAUCUGGUAUUGGGCUACCAGCCAUCAGUGUCUCAGCGCCCAAAUUUUAUUUUCGGUUCCCGAAAAAGUGGGUGCUGGCCAUCUACUUCCCCUACCCAAAUUUUUUUAAAAUUUGAUAAAGUGGGUGUCAGCCAUCAAUGUGCUAGUGUCAUAGGGCUAGACCUUUCGUCUAGUAAUCCGUGCGGCCUUAGGCGAUCUGUUCGUCCAAACUCACCUCCGUUCGCCCAAACUCGCCUAAGUCAGCCUUUACUCAAGUGAGGAUUCCUUAAGAACUCCUCCAAGGCACCAAAUUGAAGAGCAAAAUCCGGUUUAUACCAAAAGAAGAACAACAGAAAGAGCACACGCAAAGUGUUAGAGUAAAUGCUCUCAAUUUUCUUAUUCACAAAGAAUAAUGAAACAAUGAAUGGAGUGAGUACAAAUGAGGGUGAUGCUCUCUAUUUAUAGUUAAGCUCCCCUAAAACCGACGGUCAAGAUACAUUUACAUCAACGGAUGAGGUUAACCAUAUCCCUUUAUUUUAGUGAUUUACAAGAUAUGACAUAUUAAAUCUAAUCUAAUCUUUACAAGAUAUGAUUCCCUCAAUCUUCUAAGAUUAGUUACCAAAUUAACCCAAGUUGUCAUAUAUUCAUUAUCGGGCCAACCAAGCUUCAAUCUGACAAGCUUCUCCAAUAGCUAUUUGAAUCGGGCCAGUUCUCGUGGGCUAAAUGAUCUCCAUCUAAACGAUAGCCUCCACUGGAUACAUUUGGCACGAUGGUCACGGGCUUUAAACUGCGACCCGUGACAUUCUCCCACACCCAUUCUCGCAACGUCCUCGUUGUGACUUUCAAAUGGUACUGACUUGACUCGUCUUGGUCUCGUCUCGACCCUUAGCUUUUCCCUUUAUUCGGGACUUUUACUGUGGCUUACGCUGCUUCUUAACUCGAACCGUCCUACUCGUUUGUACAUCUCGACGACAAGAAGUUAUGUCACUCUCUUGCCCACAUUCUAACUUGACUCGAACAGAAUCCUCUUGAUUCACAACACUUGGCUUCGCUUUGCCCACAGUCUCUCGAAAGGGCCUCUACGUUCUUGCCAAGUCAACAAGUUAGAAUGCAACACACUAUCAAAGUGUUCGGAAUGUACCUUUACAUUUACUCUGGUCAACUAUCCCACAUGCACCACUUCUUUUUCCUUGAAGUCUGAUGCACCACCUACCUCUCCCAUAGGUGGAAGCCUUGUCGAUGACUCAGCCAACUCCGACGCUUCCCUUGGUCCCAGCUUCAUUAUUUUCAUCGCAACUUUUCCCUCAAAGUUCGAUGACAAACUCACAUCUUCCUUGGGUAGAAGCCCUUCCAAUGACUCACCAAGCUCAGACGUUGCCUUUCCUUUACCUCCGGCUUGCUUUGGACAGUUCUGCAACUCAUACGGACCAGGACAAGAAGUACUUUACUCUUUUAUUUUUACUCAUCUUUGCCCUCUCGGUUUUGCCUUUUCCCUUGCUCAAGGCAAGUUUCUUGGGCUCCUUGUCUGCUUCAUCAUUCCCUUCGAUAAUAGGCUUUUUCAGACACUUCCGUAACCUAUGCAGAUCAUGACACAAGAAGCACUCCACUAGCUUCUUCUCAUUUUUGGCCUCCUUGGCUUCGACACCAUUUGCGCUCGAACUAAGUACCAAUGCCUUAGCCACCGACUUCUCUUUAAGUGCAAAUUUCUUCAGAAAUUUCUUCAACAUGUGUGGACCGAUGCAGAGAAAGCAUUUCAGCUUGUCUCUUUUCCUCUUGGGUUUCUUCUUCCCAACUCGUGGUUUUCCAUUACCACUAUUGUCGUUGUUGCCAUUGUCAUCAACAACAUUUUCCUUGUGAUUCAUUUCACAUAAGCCCCUUUCCUCGGACUUGAAAUACUCAAGCUUGUCUUUCCCUAGACCAAGCUUAACCAUGGACUCAACUACCGUCAUGGCUUCUGACAGCUUUUGGACACCACUUUGUUCCACCUCCUGUCUGACCCACAACUUCAAUCUAUUCUGAAAAGCAAACAAUGCUUCUUUCUCGAUCACAUCUGAAACUUGGAGCAUGAGUUCCUUGAACUCUCGAACAUACUCCUCCACUGUGCCCCGUUGCGUUAUCCCUUGCAACUUUGCCCGAACUUUUUCCUCGAUAAAUUCUGGGUAAAACUGUACCUUCAACUCGCAUUGGAACUCUUGCCACGUCCCAAUCUCACCUUGCAUUUUAUCUAUGGUCAUACCCCGCCAUCAUAAAAGCGUAAUAUCAGUAAGAAACAUUGAAGCAGUGUUUACCUUAAUCGCAUCAUCCAUGAUGCCUUUGGCAGGGAAGUAAUUUUUCAUCCUCCACAAGAAAUUGUCCACAUCGCAUGCAGACGUUGUCCUCACAAACUCUUUCGGCUUCGGGACAUCCUCGUUACUGAGUGCUGCACUUAACACACCUUUUUCCAGAGAUGCUCGGCAUAAGGCUAGCUUUCCCUCGAGCUCAUCUAUUCUUGUGCUCAAAGCCAUCGUCGUGGCUAUUGUUUCCUCCUUCAAAGCCUUUACCAUGGCUUCGAGAGCAUCGUUCCUCUCUGUCAACUUCCUUCUUUGGGAAUCUAGCAACUCUUGCACGCUAUCCCUUUGAGAAGUGAGACACAUGGUCACAAAGUCCCUGGACUGUUUCCUCAAGUCUUCAAUGUUUUCCCCAAGUGCAUUGUCCAACUCUUUUGCGUCAUCCAUGGACUCCUCAAGUUUACCCACGCGUUCCUCAACAGUUGGCAACAUCUCCCUCAAAGACUUUCUCGCCCACCUUUGUUCAAACUCUUCUUUCGACAUCCCAAUAGUACCUUCGAACCAAUAACUCGAAUAUCAACUUGGUUCAAACCAACAGCUCAGAUACCACUUGGUUCAAACCUACAGCUCUGAUACUACUUUUCACAGGGAUAGACCUUUCGUCUCGUGAUCCGUGCGGCCUUAGGUGAUCCGUUCGUCCAAACUCGCCUAAGUCAGCCUUUACUCAAGUGAGGAUUCCUUAAGAACUCCUCCAAUGCACCAAAUUGAAGAGCGAAAACGGUUUAUACCAAAAGAAGAACAAUAGAAAAAGCACACGCAAAGUGUUUGAGUAACUGCUCUCAAUUUUCUUAUUCACAAAGAAUAAUGAAACAAUGAAUGGAGAGAAUACAAAUGAGGGGGAGGCUCUCUAUUUAUAGUUGAGCUCCCCAAAACCAACGAUCAAGAUACAUUUACAUCGACGGAUGAGAUUAACCAUAUCCCUUUAUUUUAGGAAUUUACAAGAUAUGCCAUAUCAAAUCUAAUCUAAUCUUUACAAGAUAUCAUUCUCUCAAUCUUCUAAGAUUAGUUACCAAAUUAGCCUAAGUUGUCAUGUCUUCAUUAUCGGGUCAACCAGGCUUCAAUCUGACAAGCUUCUCCAACAGCUCUUUGAAUCGGACUAGUUCUCUUGGGCUAAAUGAUCUUCAUCUAAACAAUAGACCUCCAUUGGAUGCAUUUGGCACGAUGGUCACGGGCCUUGAACUGCGGCCUGUGACACUAGCACCCAAAAAAAUUAUUCUUUUAUGUGAAAAAGUGGUGUCGGCCACUUAAGUCCCCUAACCCAAUUUUUUAAAAAAUAUUGGUAUAAAUGUAUACCAGUAUGCUACGGUUUGAAAAAAAAUACAUGGGUGUCGGCCAUCUAGUGUCCAGCAUCCUAAAAAAUAAUUUUUUAACCCUUGACACAAUUAUUGUCAGAAUUUUUUGUGGUGUCGGCCAUUUAAGUCCCUAACCCAAUUUUGCUGUUCAUUUUAAGUCAUUUGGGUGAUUGUUUUUGAAUCUGGGUCAUUUUUAUAAUUGUUUAUUUUUUUGAGUCAUUUGGGUAAAAUAAACCUUCAUUAUGUACCACGUCCAUACUCGAUUCUUUCCCUCACGGCAUCUUGUGUAAAAUUGCAAAACUUGAUCUAAACCAACUAAACCAACCAAAUCGACCCAAUUUAGUUUUUUCAGUUUGGUUUGAGUGAUUUCAGUUGAAGGUCAGCUUGAAUUCACAAUUAAGUCGGUAUACUUGGUUUAGCUUCGUUUUUGAAUUUCAAAACCAUUUAAAUAAAAUUAACCAACUUUAUGUAUUUAAUAAAUAUAUAUUUAAAUCCAAACCCAAUAUUAUUAUCACCAAAAUUAAAUAAAAAUAAAUAAAGCCUAGUUUUCCACCCAAAUUAAAUAUUAAUAUUGUAAUGGCCCAAAUUUGAGGUUAUCGGAACAGUGGUUUCGGGACCACAAAUCCGAUGAGAAAAAUUUUAUUUUUCUUAUAUUUUUAUGGUCUACAAUUUCACAAAAUGAUUUUUUGAAAAUUUCGUUCGAAAAUUUCGACGUUUGGGCACUCAAUUUAGUCAAAAGGACUAAAUUGCAAAAGUUGAGUUCUACAUGUUAGAGGUGUCCAAUUGUUAUGAAACUUUAAAUUGGAGGUCCUUAUAUGGUAAUUAUACCAUUGGUAACUUGGUAGACAAAAAUGGACAUGAGAUAAGUGAAAUAGAAAAUUUUUAAGUUAGGGGCAAUUUGGUAAUCUAGUAAUUAAAAUGAAUUAAAAGGGAAAAAGAUGGCAAAAAUCAUCAUCUUCUUCAUAUGAACGAAAUCAGCAAGGGGGAAGCCAUAGUUAGGGUUUUCAAGCUUCCAAGCUCCAUAGUAAGUGAUCCCAAGCCCCGUUUUUAAUGUUCUUUACGUUUUUGAGAUCCCGGUAGCUUAAUUUAGCUUAUUUUAGCAAUAAUUUAACCUAGGGUUUAUAUUUGGAAAAAUACCCAUAGGUGAAAAGUGUUUAUUUUGAUGUUUUAUGAUAGAAUAUGAAGCUAGAAAUUAUGUUAAACAACUUUUGCUAAGCGAUUUUAAGUGAAAACGAGUAAAACGACAUAAUCGGUAAAAAUACCUAAUGUUCAUAAGUAAAUGUUAGAGUGGGAAUUUUAUGUUGCCAUAGAAGGGGAAAAUGUUCAGAAUGUUAUAAAACAUAAGAAUAAGAGAUGAAGUUUAAUUUCCGAGCCUUGGGGCAAAAAUGUAAUUAUGUAGAAGUUUAGGGGCAAAAUUGUAAUUUUGAAAAAGUUAGAGUCGAGGGCUGUUUUGAUGAAUGUGAUUAUUAAAUAAGUUAAAUUUACUAUUUUAGAUCAAGAAGUACGAAACUCGAGGUUAGACAAAGGGAAGAAUAAAGUUGAAGACUAAGUUGGUGAAUUUGGCUAUAAUUGGUACCGAGGUAAGUUUACGGUAAAUAAAUGCAAUAUUUUAAUAUUUAUUAUUAAUGCUGUUAAUUUCCAGCAAUUAUGAAUUUAUUUUAUGAAUUUAUUUGAUGAUGAUCCGAGCAUGAAAUGAUAGAGAAUUAAAAUUUAAAAGUCCCGUUGAUACAUAAGGAUGGUACUGGAUACGAAUGUCAUGACAUUUGGGUAAAGAGAUCCCAUGUAAGACCAUGUCUGGGACAUGGCAUUGGCAUCCUUAAGAUCAUGAGAGGUCCCCUGUAAGACCAUGUCUGGGACAUGGCAUGGGCACCGAGACGAGAGGUCCCAUGUAAGACCAUGUCUGGGACAUGGCGUUGGCACCGAGAUGAGAGAUCCCCUAUAAGACCAUGUCUGGGACAUGGCAUGGGCACCAUCACGAGAACAUCCCAUGUAAGACCAUGUCUGGGACAUGGCUUUGGCAUGUUAUUAUCAGAAGAGACCCGAGUAUCCUUAUUAUUCCAAUGUUGCUCAACGGGCUUGUAAACGAAUCAUGUUCAUGAAAGUUCAGUUUAAAGCAUAAAUGGCAAGCUCAUGUAAGUUGUAAGACUUAAGAACUUAUUAUACUAUCAAUUGAUGUUCAACGAUGCAGCAAGGAUUGAGUAAGUUAUGCACACAAGUAUUCUAAGUAAACAAGUAAGAGAACUAGUAUGAGAUUAACUAAAGAGUAAACUAGAGAUAUAGACAUUAAGUUUAAUUAUUUAAGUUAAAUAUUGUUAUUUAUUUGCUAGUAAACUUACUAAGCUUUAUGCUUACUUCUUUUAUUUCUCUUUCUCUUAUAGUAUUGCAAAGCUACUUCAAGGAUCCUAAAGAAGUCGGAGAUCGUCCACACUAUCAACUACAACUGCUCGGUAUUUUAUAUCGAAACACGUUUGAGUUAUGGCAUGUAUAGGGAUUUAGUUAUUUUGUAUGUUUGUAAUGAUGAUUUUGCUAAUGAGUGAUGUCUAAGUAUUUGAUGAUGUAUGGUUAUUAAAAUGGUUAAGGAUGAAGGUGUUUGUUGUUAUGAAAGAUUAGGUGAUAAAUUAUGCAUGGAAAUCAUGAAAGGAUAAAAUUUUGCAAAGAAACAGAAUUCAGGCAGCACAGUGACGUGAAUUUGAAAAAUCACCCAAGAUAGUAUAAAAUGAAUUUGAGGGUGAAUGAUAUAUGGAAUUAAAUCUUGUUGAGUCUAUUUUCAUGGAAAAAUAACGGUGUAGAAAAAGGAAAUUUAUAUUUUAAGAUAUGUGAAUUUUAGUAAGAUAGGGUCAGAACUGUUUUUGGAGUCCCCUAUUCUGAGUUUAGAAAAUAAUUACAAAUUGUAAAAAAAUGGUUAUGAGUUGAAAUUUACAUUCUUAGAUUCCUUAAUGAGUCUAUUUUCUGUAGAAACAAGUAAGAACUUCAUAUGAAAAUCCUACAGUUAGAAAACUUAUUUUUAGUGACUAGAGGUCAGGGCAGUCAGGUGGUGAAACAGGGGAGACUUUAACUAAUAAACUUUACUAAUUUUCUGAACCAAAAAAAUUCUAAAAAUUUUAUGGUGAGUAGAUAUAUGAGUCUAGUUUUAGGGAAAAUUUACGGAAUUAAAUUUCGAGUUCUGUAGCUCAAGUUAUAAUUAAUUUAGUAACUGCUGCGCGAUUGGACAGAUUUGCUGCGAAUAAUGAAAUAAAUUUUCAAACCUAGUUUUUAUGCUCCAAAUUGGUAAGAUAAGCUAAGUAAUGCCUCAUGCUCGACUCCGGAAACGGUCUCGGGUAAGGGGUGUUACAAAUAUAAACUAUAAAGAUGAUAUUAUUAAAAUUUUAAUAUUAAUAAAAAUUAAACAAUAAAAAAAAUCAAAUAGUUCUAAGUUUUUAACCCUAAAACCUAAAUUCCCAAAACCUAUUGUAGAUUGUAGUCGUGCACGUAUUUUACAUCUAACCUCUAUCCCCCAGCCUCUCCUAAACUCUGUCUGUCACCCUGCCCCUUUACUUCUUGUGUUGUUUAGCUAUAUUGUUGGCCUGUAGUCGUGCUUCAUUCUUCUACGUCAUCUUACACCUCACCUUAAAUCACCAGCUUCCACAAUUGUUUCUCUCACUCAAUGGUAACAUUUUUCUCUCAUACUCACUCUUUCUAGAUAUAACCAUGGUAUUUGCCUAUUUUACUUGAGGUACAUCAUAAACGUUCUACUGCCUCUGUUAUUUGUUUAUUGUUUUAAUCAUGGAAGAGUUUGUUUCCUUUAUGUUUUGAGUGUCAAAAGUUGUAAAACUCCAAAGAUUGACAACCUGCAUACAAAGAAAAAUAGAAUGAAUGAGAAUUAUUAGGCUUGGUAGCAUCAUUUUAUUAAGUUUGGAAAAAAAAUAACCAAAUUAAACUCGGUUUGGUCGAUUAACUGACCGAAAAUGGUCAGCUAGUUUUUUCAGUUUCGUAAGAAAAGAAGUUAGUUAAGUCAAUUUUCAGUUUACUGCAUUGAACUGACCAGUUGCACACACCUAGUUUUGUGUCAUGUAACACCAAGCUAUGGCCGCUCAUUUUAAUAUGUAUGCUACUAAUCUUACCAUUCGCUUUAUGAAUCUCCAUAUGGUUGAAUCUAUCUACUUCUGCAAGCUAAUCUAUAAAACCUUUAAUAUUUAAAUUACCAUAAAAAUGAGGAAGAUCUAUCUUUAUACAAAAUUCAUCAUGUUGAGAUCUUCAUUUUCUUCAUCCUGUAAUCUUUGACAUUGGCCUGUUGUCAAUGUUGAAAAAUUCAAUUUAAAAAUAGUGUUUAUUAGGCACAUUGAAAGUUUAAAAUUUUCUUUAAUUCGAGUGAUGGUCACUAAACUAACUAUAAUUACGACAAAGACAAGCGCACCUAUUGAACAAUAGUAUAGCUAUGGUGAGUAGGGAAUAUCGUAUCCACGAAAACUAAAAGUACUAGUAAUUAUCGCUUUUCUAUUAUUUAGCCGAUAAAUUGAAGUGAUUGUUUUUAAUCUAAAUUUACUAAUCUAAUUUAACUACGAACGCAACAGAGAAUAAAAUGGGAAAAUAAUUGAAAACAACCAAUUAGAAAGACAAUACCCAGGAAAGAAUCCACCUAGACUUUACAUAUGAUUCUGAAUCUGAAUUAAACGAUUUAUUCACUUGUGUCUUGAUCCGUAAAAAUCCCUAAAUUAUGUUAAUAUCUCUUUCGAGAGUAAGAACAACUGACUAUAGGUUGAUUAAUUGAAAUCUCUUUCUAAUUAAAACCCUAUCUUCGCAUUAACUCGAUCUAUGUAUUCCCCUAUUAGAUUUGACUCUAAUCUGGUAGAUUUAUGUCAUCCUAUUUCUAGGAUUACAUGCAACUCCACUCAAUAAUGCUAGAUUUAUUCUUAAACAGGGACUAUUUCUCCACUGAAAUAAGCACAUUAAACAUGAAUUAAUAUCCCAAAAAUAUUAAAACACGAAAUAAGCAUACAUAAUUGAGAACAAGAAUCAAGUAUUUAUCAUGUAAAUCAGAAAUCAAAUAAUAAGAUUCAUCAUAGGUUUCAUCUUCCCUAAGUAUCUAGGGAAUUUAGUUCAUAAUCUAGAAUGAAAACAUCUCAAAGUUAGGAUAACAACAAGACAUAAAGAAACUUAAUAAAACUUCGAAGAAAAUUAAAUGGAGAUCUUCAAUCUUGAAGGAGAUCCACUUCUGAUGGCGUUCUUCGAGUCUUUUCUCCGGUCUUCUCUGCGUGCCCCCUUAGGUAUUCUUCUAAUUGGUAUUUAUAGACUAUAGAAUUCUCAGAAAGCCUAAAAAUUGGGUUUUUCAGUGUAUUUGGGAAGCAGGGUGCGAUAUUGACACGGACUGGCACAUGGGCGUGUAGCCAGCCCGUGUGGAAAUGCCGAGGCUGUAUGGAUCCUGAAAACAGCUCUAUUUAUCUGAUUUUGGCUUGUUUUUCGUUCCUUUUGCUCCCAAAUGCUCUCAUAAGUAUAAAGACAUUAAUUUAAAGGAUUAGAAGCAUCAAAUUCACUAAUUUACAUAAUUAAUCAUCCAGAAAUGCAUCAAGAAUAGGAUUAAAAUUAUGUUACUUUUAUGGCUUAUCAUCGAGCCAUUGUGAUGUUUAUAACAAUAAACCGCAUCUAUCCUUCCUACAAUUCACCUUUUAACAAUUAUAGACCUAGUAAGAAACCUAUAACAAUCACAAAAGGCAGCAGCCAAACUUUACCUUCCCGGUAGGGAGCCCACUCAUGCUUACGCAGAUGAUGUGGAGCAUCAAGUGGAGGCAACAUCUCAAAUUUCAGCAUAAUAGAUGGCCUAAAACAAUAAUUAGACCAUUAAACAAAUAAGAAAUUAGGUUAAAAAAACUCAUUGAUCCGAAAAAUAGUAGCAGCACGAGCAAUUUGACUCGCCAACUGAAAGAAAAAUGAGAAAUUAAAUGAAAAUUUGUAACAUAGGGUGGAAAGAGUGAAGAGAAAUAGAGGGAUUUUCCAUUACUCGAGUGGCGAGCUCGAGAGACUGAGCAUUGUCGACGAUAGAACCAGCGAUGGCUACGGUGACAGUGGGGAUAUCGUCGGCUUUUUUGGUUUCACCGUUGGUUUCUUUCUACGGUGACAGUGAUUCGAAUCUGCUAACCUAGAAUUAAACUAAAGACACUACAAGGCAGCCAUUGAAAUUAAUUACAGAGAGGAAAAGAGAGUUAGAAAAGAAAAGAAAAGAAAAGAGAGAGUUGAAACUCAUUACAGUGAUUCCAUUCCUUUACCUUUCAGUUGCAGUAACCUGGAGACUGGUUGAGAAGAAGAAGGUCGACUGGUUGAGAAGGCAAUCGAAAGAGUGGCAGAGCGAAAAAGAAAAGAAAGGAAACGGAGGGAACAAAUCGGCAGCAAAGAGGCGUAAUGGACUGGGAGGAAAUCGGCAGAAAACAAAAGCAAAGAAAUAAGGAAGGAAAUCAGAUGAAGGAACAGAAGAGAAACAAGGGGAUGGGGGGAGGGCAAAUCAGGGAGGUGAUGCUCAAUCGGUAACUAAUCUGGGCAAAGAGGGGGGAAUAGAAAUCGGUGGUUUUCACCGAUUAAGAAGGUAAUGGAUUAGGUGCGUAUUACCAAUACAUCAAACCAAACGACGUGUUACACCCGGAUUAGGUGGGGCCCACCGAUUAGGGGUGUAUUGGCAUAGCCAAUACACCAAACCAAACAAGCUGAAGGAUGUUUGAUUGAAUUAAGAUUCAAUAAUCUUUUAAUAUAUUUAAAUAUAUUUAUUAUGUAUUAAUUGGUAUAUUUUUAUUAAGGUAAACUAUAUUCAUGAUCACUUUAAAAUAAGAUUUGUCUUAUUUUAGUUAUUUUAAUUUUUUUUUCAAUUUAAUCAUUUAACUAAAAUAAUUGUCAAACUACUUGGUAUGUUAAAAAUUAUAUUAAUUCACUAAUAGAUUGCUAAUUUGACAAAUUAAUUAAUUAAAUUUAAAGAUAUCUCUAUAAUUAAUUCAAAAAAAAAAUUUUCUUCCACUUCUGUCUUUUACCUCAUAAAAGGAUAAACCAAAACCCACUCCCUGUUCAAGACCAUCUCAUAGUAACUUGUCCUUCACCAUUUUCUCAUUUUCUCAGCAUUCUUUGUACUCAACGAUGAAAAUAAGACGUUUAUUGUCUUCAUAGUUAGUUCUCAAUUUCUGUGCAAAGGGCCAGAGAUCCUGAGAUAUUAGCAGCUUAUCUUAUAAAGCAGCGAUUCCUGAGUCUCCCUUGGAAGACACCAUUUCAAUCAAGUCCAUUGUGACCCUAAAGAAAGGCCAUUGGUUGUACAUGGCUUGAAGCAUUUGGAGAUUCUUCUUAUCCUUGUCAACCACAUGCUUAAAAGCAGCCCCAAAGCCAAGCCAAGCCACACAGGCAAAUGAAAUCUUGUUUGAGUCCACGCAAAGAUCCAAGAGAUUGCACGGAGAGUUUCAAUGCCUCCACUUGGCUUUCUUUUUUAUGGAGAUGGACGACUGCUAAUAUUCAUCUGACCAUACUCCAAUUCUGUUGUUGCUUGCAACCAUUUAAAAUUCACAUUGUUUUCUCAACCAGCCUUGGGAAGUAAAUUUAUCAAAUUUUUUUGGUAGCAAAUAAUGGUGAAAUACUUAACUAGGCAGAAGUAUUCAACAAAUCGAGGUUCCUGGAAGACUACAGAACAGUGUUCCUUUGUUGCAACUGUUAAGAAAAAAAUUAAUAUGGAAAAUUGAAAACAAAAACAAAAAGAAGAAAGAAAAAUCAAUGUCACUAAAAUAUAACGAGUUUGAGGUGUGUAGGUGUCUCCAAAAUACAACAAAAUCCUCAACACUCUAAACAGAAUAGUCAAAAUGACUAUCUUUUAAUGAAAUACCUUUCCAAGAAGAUAUCCUUCCAUAUGGACGUGUUUUUUAAUGGAAUACAUUUUCAUAUAAUUGUGUUAUUUUACAAAAUAACUUUACAUAAAGUUAUGUCUUUACAACUUUAUGUAUAAAAGUUACAUCUUUACAACAUAACUAUUCAUUAAUAAUUAUAAUUUAUUAGACUUUUCUGGAUAAUAAAAUAUUAUUACCUUUCAUCACUAUAAAUUUACUACACUAUGGUGGUAUAUAAUAUUUCUUUUAAAAAAUCAACAUACUCAUCAUGCGUAAAAUAUACAUUCUUUUAUUAAAGAAUGUUUAAGUCAAUAUUCAAGAUAUAAUAUAUCAACAUGUUUUUUCAUUCAUCUUUUCACUAUAUUCUUAAUAUAUAUUAUCUUCACAUAAUCAGUCAAAUGUUUUGAAAUUUCUCAAACUUUUGUCUAAAACUCAAUGUGAGGUGCAUAAAAGCAAGUAUAAAUCAAAUAUAACCACUGUCAGUGGAAUUCCAUGACAUUCUUGUUCUUUGCAAAUAUAAUAAUAAAUAAAAGGAAGACAACCUUCCUCAAUUGGUGUCCCACCUAAUUGUUGGUGUUUUUAAGGGUUUUUUUAUAUAAAUAAUACAAAAAAUUAAAAAAUUACCAAAAUAAUACAAGCUUUUUAUUAUGUACCAAAAUGGUACAAAUAAGAGUGGAGGGACUGCCACAGGCGCCACCAAAGAUACCAGUGGCAGAGGCGGCACUAAAGGUGCCAUUGCCACAGGCGGCACCCCCCAUUACAACGGGCCCCUUCAGCCGCACGAGAAGAAGAAGGAAAAGGAAAGGAGAAGAAGAAGAUAAUCCAUUAUUUUUUUAAAAAAAAUACCUUAUUUUUCAUUAAUAAUUAUAUAUGUUAUCUAGUUUUUAAACCAACUCAUAUUAUUUAUCCAACCCAAUAAAUAUUUUUCCAUGCCCAAAAUAGUAAUUAUUCAUUUAAUUAAUCAACUUAAUUAAAUUAAUUUCUCAGUCUGAUUCUAAUCUCGUUAAAGUUAUUAUGACUUUAUCGUAUUAGAAUAUAUAAGAAAAUUAAUUUAGCUAAGUUGCUCUUAUGAAACUAUGAUGAAUUAAAUUUAUUUAUUUUUCACUUCAAACUCUAAAUAAUAAUUCGAAGAAAUCAAUUUAAUUACCAAGUCAUCUCUUAUUCAUAGCGAGAAAACUUAUUCACUAUAGAUAUGGAUAAUAUCUUAAUAUGAAUCCAAGUUAAAUAACAUUAUAUGCAAAAUAUUAAGAUUUGAUAAAUAUAUAAAUUUAGUAAAAAUUUUAACUCCACAACAAUUUCGAAUUCAAAUAUCAGAAUACAAUAUUAUCUGGUAAAGUAAAGAAAAUUAGGUUAAUAUAUGGAAUUACACUAGCUAUUAUUUCUUAAUUUUGUAUGUUUUUUUUUUUUUUAUCAUAAUCGUUUGUCUCUUUUAAGUAUUAAAGAAGUUACGGACGGCAAGGGGAUGUUUUUUUCUUUUUUGUAUUAUGUGUGAAUUUUUGUAUUUAUUUUAUCUAUCGUUUCUUAAAGGUAAUUUAUUUAUUUUUGUAUUAUGCUUUUUUUAAAAUGUGAAAAUGUUGGGUCUAAAAAAGACACCUUUUCAAAGGUAGACCGUCUAGAGGGUUGAGAGUAGCCUUGCCUCCCAAUUUUUUUGAAAAAAAAAAUCAUUAGCCUUUAAAAUUUUUUAAAAAUAUUAAUUAAGUCCUUAAAAUUUUUUUAAAAUUCUCAUUAAAUCCUUUUAUUUUAGAAAUUUUUACUUAAACCCCUUAAAUUUUAAUACCAACAUCCUCUCUUCCUUCUUUUUGUUCUUCUUUUAGGAUUUCAAGUCUAGUAAUAUCAUGUAUGAAAAUGAAAAUAUUGAGUUGGAUAUUUAAGUGUCCAAACCAUUCUAGCCAUUCAUUCCACCGAAUCGGUUUGGAUAUUUAACUUUUAUAAAUGGUGGAAGCUAAUUUUAAGUUUGAUAUGGGUAUUGGAUAUUAAAUUCCUUGGGUUUGAAUAUUGAUGAGUAUAGUAUUUAGUAAUUAAACUAUGUAUUGGUUUAUUUGGGUGUUUUUAUAGAUAUUGGUGUUAGUUAUUUAUGAAAAUUGGGCUAUUUUAUCAAAAUAAUCUAAUUUUUUUUUAUAUUUAUAAAAAUAACAUAGGUUUAAAAACAAUCACCAAAAUAACUUGAAAUGAACAGUAAAAUGAGGUUGUGGCCUGUCAAUGGCCAGCACCACCUGGUAUUUUGGACCCAUGAUUACCUGAUAAUUGUGUCAGACUUAAAAAAAUGAUUUUUUUUAGUUUUGGCCUAUUAAUAGCAGGAACCAGUGUAUUUUUUUAAAUCGUAUUAUACUGAUAUACAGGGAAAAAAAGAAAAAAAAAUUGACAGGCCGGCACCACCUUUAUAUAAAAAAAAAACAAAUUUACAUUUUGGGUUGUCAUUGGCCAGCACCAGUAUAUGAAAAAAUAAAAAAAAAAUUGUGGUGACCUACCAAUGGCCGGCACCACCUUUAUGUAAUUUUUUUUUUACAUUUUGGGCUGUUCAAAUUUUUUUUUUUUACAUUUUGGCUUGCCAAUUGCCAGCACCACCAAAAAAAUAUUUUUUUUAAAAAAAAAUUUCGUAUACUGAUGUCGGCCAAUGACAGCCCAAAAUAUAAAUUUUUUUUACAUAAAGGUGGUGCCGGCCAUUGGCAGGCCACCGCCAAUUUUUUUUUUAAUUUUUUCGUAUACUAGUGUCGACCAAUUAAAGCCCAAAAUGUAAAACAAAAAAAAAUUACAAAAAGGUGGUGCCGGCCAUUGGUAGGCCGCUACCAAAUUUUUUUUUAAAAAUUUUUUCGUAUAUUGGUGCCAGCCAUUGACAGCCCAAAAUGUAAAUUUUUUUUACAUAAAGGUGAUGUCGGCUAUUGCCAGGCCACCACCAAAUUUUUUUUAAUUUUUUCGUAUAUUGGUGCCAGCUAUUGACAGCCCAAAAUGUAAAAAGAAAAAAAAUUUACAUAAAGGUAGUGCUGGCCAUUGGCAGGCCACCACCAAAAAAAGAAAUGUUUUUAACAUUUUUUCGUAUAUUGGUGCCGGCCAAUUACAGCCCAAAAUAUAAAUUUUUUAACAUAAAGGUGGUGCCGGUCAUUGGCAGGCCACCACCAAAAAAAAUAUUUUAUUUUUUUCGUAUACUGGUACCAAUUGAUAACAACCCAAAAUGUAUUUUUUUUUACAUAAAAGUGGUGUCGACUACUGCCAAGCCACCACAAAAAGAAAAUUUUAAAAUUUUUCGUAUAUUAGUGCCUCUCAUUAACAGCCCAAAAUAUAAAAAAAAUUACAUAAAGGUGGUGUCGGCAAUUGAUAGGCUACAAAAAAAACAAUUUCAUAUUUUUUCGUAAACUAGUGCCGGCAAAUGACAACCUAAAAUUUAAAAAAAAAUUACAUAAAGGUAGUGCCGGCCAUUGGCAAGCCACCAUUAAAAAAAAUUUAAAUUUUUUCGUAUACUGAUGCCGGCCAAUUACAGCUCAAAAUGUAAAAAAAAUAAUUUUUUUUACAUAAAGGUGGUGCCGGCUAUUGGUAGGCUACCACAAAAAAAAAUUCAAAUUUUUCCGUAUACUGGUGUCGGUCAAUGAUAGCCCAAAAUGUAAAAAAAUAUAUAUUUUUUACAUAAAGGUGGUGCUUGCCAUUGGCAGGCUACCACCAAAAAAAAAAUUUUUUUUUAAAAAAUUUUUGUAAAUUGGUACCGGGAAAUGACAGCCCAAAAUGUAAAAAAAAAUUUACAUAAAGGUGAUGCCGGCCAUUGGAAGGCCAAAAUUAAAAAAAAUUAAAUUUUUUCGUAUACUAGUGCCGGCCAAUAACAUCCCAAAAUGUAAAAAAAAAAAAAAUUUUACAUAAAGAUGGUGUCAGGCAUUGGUAGGCUACCACCAAAAAAAAUUUUAAAUUUUUUCGUAUACUAGUGUCAGCCAAUGACAUCCAAAAAUGUAAAAAAAAAUUACAUAAAGAUGGUGCUUGCCAUUGGCAAGCUAACACAAAAAAAAAUUUACAUAAAGGUGAUGCCGGCCAUUGCUAGGCUACCACAAAAAAAAAUUCAGAUUUUUUCGUAUACUGGUGUCAGCCAAUAACAACCCAAAAUGUAAAAAAAAUAUUUUUUUACAUAAAGGUGGUGCCAACCAUUGGCAGGCAAUCAUUAAAAAAAUUAAAUUUUUUCGUAUAUUAGUGCCAGCCAUUAACAGCCCAAAAUAUAAAAAAAAAUUAUAUAAAGUUGGUGUCGGCCAUUGGCAGGCUACAAAAAAAAAACAAUUUUAUAUUUUUUUGUAUACUGGUGCCGAAUAAUAACAGCCUAAAAUGUGAAAAAAAAAUUUACAUAAAGUUGGUGUCAGCCAUUACUAGGCCACAAAAAAAAUAUUAAUUUUUUUGUAUACUGGUGCUGGCCAAUGUUAGCCAAAAAUGUAAUUUUUUUUACAUAAAGGUAGUGCCGGCCAUUGGUAGGCUACCUCAAAUUUUUUUUAAUUUUUUGUACACUAACGUUGGCAAAUGACAGUCCAAAAUGUAAAAUAUAUAUAUAAAUGUGGUGGCAACCAUUGGCAGUCCAUCAUUAAAAAAAAAUUUAAAUUUUUUCGUAUACUGUUGCCGACAAAUGAUAGCUCAAACUGUAAAAAAAAAUUACAUUAAGGUCGUGCAGGCCAUUGGCAAGCUACCACCAAAAAAAAAUUCAAAUUUUUCUGUAUACUGGGGUUGGCCAAUGACAACCCAAAAUGUAAAAAAAAAUUACAUAAAGGUGGUACCGGCCAUUGGCAGGCCACCACCAAAAAAAAAAUUCAAAUUUUUUCGUUUACUGUUGCCGGCCAAUGACAGCCAAAAAUGUAAAAAAAUAUUUUUUUUCCAUAAAUGUGGUGUUAGCCAUUGUCAGGCCACCAACAAAAUUUUUUUAAAAAUUUUUUCGUAUAUUGGUGCCGGCAAAUAACAGCCCAAAUUUUUUUUUUACACAAAGGUAGUGCUGGCCAUUGGCAGGCCACCACCAAAAAAAGAAAUUUUUUUAAAAUUUUUUCGUAUACUGGUGCCGACGAAUGACAGCCCAAAAUGUAAUUUCUUUUACAUAAAGGUGAUGCCAGCCAUUGGCAAAAAAAUUAUUUUUUCGUAUACUGGUGCUGGCGAAUGACAUCACAAAAUAUAAACUUUUUUUUUACAUAAAGGUGGUGCCGGCCAUUGGCAGGCCACCACCAAAAGAAGAAAUUUUUUUUAAAAUUUUGUCGGGUGUCGGCUAAUGACAUCCCAAAAUGUAAAAAAAAAAUUCCAUAAAGGUGGUGCUGGCCAUUGGUGGGCCACCACCAAAUUUUUUUUAAAUUUUUUCGUAUACUGGUGCCAGCAAAUGACAGACAAAAAUAUAAAAAAAAAUUACAUAAAGAUGGUGCCGGCUAUUUGCAGGCCACCACCAAACAAUUUUUUCGUAUACUGGUGCCGGCAAAUGAUAGCUCAAAAUGUAAAAAAAAAAAUUACAUAAAGGUGGUGCCGGCCAUUGGCAGGCCACCACCAAAAAUAUUUUUUUUAAAAUUGUUUCGUAUACUGGUGUUGGCCAAUGAUAGCCCAAAAUGUAAAAAAAAAUUUACAUAAAGGUCGUGUCGGCCAUUGGUAGGCCACCAAAAAAAUAAAUUUUUUUAAAAUUUUUUUGUAUACUAGUGCCGGCUAAUGACAGCCCAAAAUGUAAAAUUAUUUUUCUUACAUAAAGUUGGCCGGCCAUUGACAGGCCAACACCCAAUUUUUUUUUUCUUUUUUUCCCUAUAUACCAGUAUGAUGCAAUUUAAAAAAAAUACAAUAGUUCCGGCCAUUGACAGGCCAGAACUAAAAAAAUCAUUUUUUAAGUCUGACACAAUUAUCAGGCAAUCAUGGGUCCAAAAUACCAGGUGGUGCCAACCAUUGACAGGCCACAGCCCCAUUUUACUGUUAAUUUCAGAUUAUUUUGGUGAUUGUUUUUAAACCUGGGUUAUUUUUGUAAAUAUAAAUUUUUUUUGGAUUUUGGUAAAAUAACCUGAAAAUUGAAUUAAAUUAAAAUAUUAAAUAUAAAAUUAAAUAAAUAUAUAUAUAAUUUAUGUGGAGUACCAGUUUUGUACAAGUGGAAUGAAAGUGACCUUUGUCUACAUUACUAACAUAGAUACAGAAAAAGUUGCCUCUGUUGACAUUCCUAAAAUAGAUAUAAAAUUAGCAGGAAGAAGCUGAAUCUCUUGAACUUGAUUCAUUAUGUGAAACCAAUUUUUUAUUUGUAGGAAAAUUUUGGGUAACCAAUUAUGCAGAUGGAUGGUAGUUGUGUGGCAACAAGUUUUAGGAUUUCGGAACAGGUUUUGACGUCAAGUGGGCAGUGGAUGCAGCUCUUGGGCUUUGGCACCGCAGCCUACCCGCUGGUAACACCGGAAGUUGCAAAGCAGGCGAUUCUCCAAGCAAUCGAGCUUGGUUAUCUGCAUUUCGAUCCAGCUUAUAUUUACGAAACGGAACAGCCGCUUGGUGAAGCAAUCGUAGAAGCAACCUUGCUUGGCUUAAUUAAAUCUCGAGACGAGUUGUUCAUCACUACAAAGCUCUAGUGCAGCGAAGCUUAUGGAGAACUUGUUCUUCCUCAGCUUCGCAAGAGCUUGCAGUAAGUUAUAUAUAUAUUUCUUUUUCUAAUUUCAAAUUAAUAUCUCCUUACCCUGAAUAGACGUUGUGGCCACUGACAUGGUUAAUUGUGGCUAAAGUUUAAACUAUUUCUACCAUAGAAAUCUCAAGACGGAGUACGUGGAUCUCUAUCUUAUUCACUGGCCUUUAAGCAGAAAACAAGAGAGAUACGGAUUCCCAGUAACGAAGGAAGAGUUUAUCCCCAUGGAUUUCGGAUCCGUAUGGGCAGCCACGGAAGAUUGCCAGAGGCUUGGCCUUACAAAGUCCAUUGGGGUAAGCAAUUUUUCCUGCAAAAAACUAGCUGACAUACUUACCUUGGCAAAGAUCCUUCCUGCUGUUAACCAGGUAAAACUCUCCCUUUUUCUCUUUGAAUCUGGUAUACACCUAGCAUAGUAGCAAUCACUUUGGUUUCAAUGUUGGGAUAUAUAGUGACGAAGUUACAAUUUUUUUCCUGCAAGGUGGAAUUCAACCCGCUGUGGAACCAGAAGAAGUUAAGAGAGUAUUGCAAAGCAAAUGGGGUCCUCCUCAUAGGUUACUCCCCAUUGGGAGCCAGUGGGACACUUUGGGCCAGCAGUAGAGUUGUGGAGAAUGAGGUGCUCAAGGAAAUAGCGGAGGCUAAAGGGAAGAUAGUUGCUCAGGUCAGGUGCUUGUUGUUUCCUUUAAAACCAAAGCUAGCUAUUUCAGAAUUAUAGAUAGAAAUUAGUCUGAUUUAUUAAUCCAGAAACAGAUAUGUUUGAAAUGGGCAUUUGAAGAAGGUGUGGGUGUAAUCGUGAAGAGCUUCAAUGUUGAGAGGAUGAAGCAAAACCUUGAGAUAUUGGAUUGGUCAUUGAGCGAGGAGGAGUGUAAAAGGAUCGGUGACCUCCCACAAAGUAGGGGUUGCACUGGAGAAUCGUUUGUCUCUGAAAACAGACAAUCGAGGAGUUUUGGGAUGGGGAAGUUUGAUUACAUUUUCAUCUUAAAAAAUAGCCUUGAGUCAUAAUUUGAAAUUUAGUCUUCAUAUUCCUUAAAAUAAUAAGGAUGUUUGCUUGAAUUAAGAUUCAAUAAUCUUUUAAGAUAUUUAAAUAUAUUUAUUAUGUAUUAAUUGGUAUAUUUUUAUUAAGGUAAACUACAUUCACGAUCACUUUAAAAUAAGAUUUGUCUUAUUUUAGUUAUUUUAAUUUUUUUUCAAUUUAAUCACUUAAUUAAAAUAAUUGUCAAACUACUUAGUAUGCUAAAAAUUAUAUUAAUUCACUAAUACAUUACUAAUGUGACAAAUUAACCAAUUAAAUUUAAAGAUAUCUCUAUAAUUAAUUCAAAAACUUUUUUUUUCUUCCACUUCCGUCUUUUACCUCAUAAAAGGAUAAACCAAAACCCACUCCCUGUUCAAGACCAUCUCAAAGUAACUUGUCCUUCACUAUUUUCUCAGCAUUCUUUGUACUCAACGAUGAAAAUAAGACGUUUAGUGUCUUCAUAGUUAGUAUUCAACAAAAAAUUAAUAUGGAAAAUUGAAAACAAAAAAAUGAAAAGAACAAAGAAAAAUCAAUGUUACUAAAAUAUAACGACUUUGAACACUUUCUUUAAAAGGUUUUUGUAUGUCUCCAAGGUAUAACAAAAUCCUGAAAACUCAAUAGUCAAAAUGACCAUCUUCUAAUGAAAUACCUUUCCAAGAAGAUAUCCUUUCAUAUGGACGUAUCUUUUAAUAAAAUACAUUUUCAUAUAACUGUGUUGUUUUACAAAAUAACUUUACAUAAAGUUAUGUCUGUACAACUUUAUGUAUAAAAGUUACGCUUUUACAACACAACUAUUAAUUAAUAAUUAUAAUUUAUUAGACUUUUUUGAAUAAUAAAAUAUUAUUACCUAUCAUGUCUAAUAAUAAAAUAUUAUUAGACUUCCUUUUGGCCUUCUCAUAAGAUUUGCAUCUAAACAAAACAAAGACAAAGUGAACAAACCUCAAAAAUUGAUGUCUUCUAGAAGUAGAGAAUUUAGUUCAGGACCUGCAACCAAACAGACUGCAUGUAGUGGCACAGUACCAUCACCAAUGUCAACAAACACAAAAACUCAACGAAAAGGUAUGUUCAAUAAAAUCAAUCAGAGUAAUUCUAUGCCAUUUAUCAAUCUUCGAGGAAAGACAAACUUUUUUCACAUGCAAUUUUAAUUCCAUUACAGAAGUUCUGUUAAAUUUGUUUAUUUUUCAGUAUACAGGUCAAACUUUUUUUUUCUGCCAUUUGUAUUCUUCAAUUCUUCAAUUUUGUAGUCUUUCAAAAAAUCAAAGGACCAUAACCUAUAAACCUUGAAACAAAUCUGUAAACCCAUUUGUAUUCACAUCAUUGGCUAAGGCUUAUAUUUACAGUAAAGAUCAGAGAAAGAAAAAAUAAAGAAAACUAACUAAAUGUCUAAUGAGAAUUUAACCGAAUAAACAAGGGUUAACACUGUUAAUAUACCUUUGAAUUUUGAAAUAAAGAAAACUAACCUCUGAUUCUGAAAAUGGGUGGAGCCGUGGAGGACCGGAGGUGGAUUGGUGCCGGAGGUGAAGGUUGAGAAAAAAAGGGAGGAGGGCAGUCGGGCAAGGGGUUAGGGAUUUGUGGAAGAAGGGAAACGGGAAAUGGGGGAAAUGGGUGGAGCCGUGGAGGACCGGAGGUGGAUCGGUGCCGGAGGUGAAGAUUGAGAAAAAUAUGGAGGAGGGCAGUCGGGCACUAGGGAUUUCUGGAAGAGGGGAAAUGGGGAAGAAAAAAUUUUGCCCGAGGCCCGGCCCGUUUUCUAAACGGGCCUCGUUUUUGCCCAAUCUCAUAUUUCGGGCCUAUAUUUUUACCCGAACCCUCUCAUAUUUCAGACGGGUUGUCGGGCCGGGCCGCCCAGCCCAUGAGCACCUCUACUUGUAACUAAACAUUUUAUUAAGAAAUAGAUUUUAUUUUAUCUCCUUUAUUUUAAAAAAACUAGUAAAUUAGUUAUUGUAUAUUAGAUUAAAUAAUAAAUUGGUUAUUUUAAAUAAAAAAUAUUUAUUUUUAUUAUUAAAUACUGUUAUGACUGAUAAAAUAAUCAGACAGUUACAUGUGAUGCGCCAUGUGUACAUCAUUAUGGCAUACAAUGACCAUUUUUAAUGGUGAAAAUAGAUAAAAUUUUAAACAGAAAGAAUAGUUUUUUCUUUGAUCUAAUUACAAAGACUAAUUUAUUUAUUUUUUGAAUAGGGAGAUAAAAAUGCAAUUUAACUACUAAUGCAAGGGAUUUCAUGGUACUUUUACCGUUGUUUAUAUAAUUUUUUUGAAACGGAAAUUUAAUUAGGUUAAAAGAUUAUUUAAGCACAACUGAAUUUUAAAAUCUUAUUCGAAUAUAGGAAAAAACAGAAUUUUUUUUAAAAAAAUUUAAUAUAUCAAAAAUUAUAAAAUAUAAAAUACUUCAAAUACGAUUAUCACAUGAAAAAAAUGUACGAAUAGAACACAAAUUAAUUGAUCUAAUGUUAGCUUAAGUAGGUAAAAAAUGUAUAUCUUAUUUAUUUUAAUUUUUAAAAAAAGAUAUUUAAUAGAAUUAAUUAAUUUGAUAUUUGUGAAAAAUAGUUUAUAUAUAUUCUAAAUUUUUGUAAAACAAAUACUUAAUUAAUACACUAUUUUGAUAUUAAUUAAUGGUGUAAUAUUCGUAUAAUAAUUACAAAUAUAUGUUUAAAAUCAUGAAUAAUAUAAAUCCUAAUCCUCAAGCCCAAAAUAUAUAUAUGUUGUUAAAUAAGGGGGCGGGGAAGAGUCCAAGAAUUAGCGAAAGCCCGAAAUGUUAGCAAAAAGAAAACACAAAACCCAAAGAAAAAGAAAAUCAAAUGGCCCAUGCAGGUUUCGAACCUGCGACCUUCGCGUUAUUAGCACGACGCUCUAACCAACUGAGCUAAUAGGCCUGUAGAUGAUAAACAUGUAGUAAUUAAUAUAUUUAGCAGUUACAAAACCGUCAAGCAAUUUGGGUCGGAAAUUGUGUAUGGACAUGGUGUAUUUAAAUAAUGUUUGGAUAUACAUUAAUCCAAAGGCUUUAUUUAGUAAAGAGAAGUAAAUUUUAUAGCUUAAAUUAUUCACAUUUGCUUAAAAAGUAGGUUAGAGAAAUACAUCUUAAAAACAAUAUUGGUAUUACCUUUUUAGAAAAGUAUCCCUAUUCUCUAUUCUCUUAUUCUCCUAUUUAUAUUUAUAUAUUUUUAAAUUUUAUAAAUAAUAUUUUUUAACAUUUAUUUUUUUGAAUUAUAAUUUUUUAUAUUUUUAAGCAAUAUAUUAUAUAUAAUAUUUUUAAAAAGGUGAUGCGGCGCCACAUGGAUGAUAAACAGUUGGUCAAUGAUAGUCAACAUGGGUCAAUAAUGGUCAACAUUGGUCAAUGGUUGGCCAAAGAUGACCAACCAUAGACAACAUCCAGUCAAUGGAGAGCCAAUGUUUUUAUUUUAAAUAAAUUGAAUUGUCACAUUAUACAUUUUAAUUGAUUGGAUGUGUUAACAUGAUACAUUUUGAUAAGCAGAUAACUGAUUUUUUUUAACACUGUUGUAAGAAAAAAAAAAAGGCUGAACCGAAAAAGAAAAAUAAUAGCUUAACUAGUAAUCUGGAAAAAAGGGUUAAAUACCAAAAUAAAAAAGCAAACAUAUCGAUCGGUUAACCGAAUUUUUUCGGUUUUAUCCGAAUUAUGCACACCCCUAAUGCUAAAUUUUGCCCUAUGUUUGUUUUUUUAUUUUGGUAUUUAACCGGUUAACCGAGUUUUUUCGGUCGGGGGUCGAUUAAUUUUUUUAUGAUUUUUCGGUUAACGGUUAAUUCGGUUCGAAACCGGUCGGUUAACCGAAAAUUUUCGAUUAACCGAAAAAAUUAAUAAAUAAAAUUAUCCAACCAAGCCCAAACUCAAUUACCCAACCCAAUCACCCAACCCAAUAAAACUAAAACUAAAGUUUACCCAAUUACCCAAUCCAAUAAAACUAAAACUAAAAGACAACCCAAUUUAUUAAAGUCUAAAACUCAAUUUACUUUAAUAAUUUAUAAAUUUUUUAAAUUUUAAAAAUAAAAAAUAAAAAAAUUCGGGUAAUUCGGGUAUUUUUUGGUAAUUCGGUUAAUUCGAGUAAUUCGGGUAAUUUUUAACCAAAAAUAAAAAAUACAUAAUUUUCGGUUAAUUCGGUUAACCGACCUUAUUAACCGAAAAAAUUUCGGUUCGGUUAAUUUUUUUAAAAAAAAAAUCGAUUCGGUUAACGGUUAAAAUUUUUAGAAGGUCAAUUAAUUCGAUUAUAGUAAUUUCAAAUUCGGGUCGGUUAAUCGAAUGAAUACCCUAUUUAGCAUUACCUCAUUUAAUGCCUUAAAUUCAGUAAUCAAGUUGAAUUUUCUUUUUGAGAAGAUUCAAGUCUAUUUUUCGCCGCAAGUUUUCCAUCCAAAGAAACUGACUACCUCAGGCUCUCUCAUUAUCCAUAUUCACAUAAAGGGUUGAAGCAAAAGAAAAUAUUCUUUUUCUUCCUUUUUGAGUUGUUAAAAAGAAUAUGGGGAGUAUUCCAGAUUAUGUUUUGAGGUGGAGUGGGCAAAGAAUGCCGGUUGUGGGAUUUGGCACCGCAUCGGAGAUAGUUGAAGGAUCAGAUUUUUUUACUGUCACAAAACAAGCUGUUCUUCAAGCAAUCAAACUGGGUUAUAGGCACUUCGAUACAGCUUCUCUGUAUGGGUCAGAGCAGCCUUUGGGUGAAGCAAUCGUUGAAGCACUCUCGCUUGGCUUAAUCAAAUCUCGAAACGAGCUCUUCAUCACUUCCAAGCUGUGGUGCACCCAAGCUUAUGGAGAUCUUGUUCUUCCUGCUCUCAAGACAAGCUUACAGUAAAAUCAAAUAUUUGUUUCCCCUUUUUUGUUUUUUCUAUCUUUUGUUGAGCUGAAGACAGGGAAUGGUUGUUGAAGUGCAGGAAUCUGAAGUUGGACUAUCUAGAUCUUUAUCUCAUUCAUUGGCCUAUAUGCUUAAAACAAAGGAAGGAAGGGGUGUCAGGGGGUAAGGAAUAUGAUCUAUUCCCUAUGGAUUUCAGUUCCGUAUGGGCCGCCAUGGAAGAUUGCCAGAGGCUUGGGCUCACCAAAUCUAUCGGUCUUAGCAAUUUUACAUGCAAAAAGGUGGCCGAUGUUUUGUCAAUCGCAAAGAUCCCUCCGGUUGUUAAUCAAGUAACUCGCUCUUUCUCUCUCUGACACACAGUUAGCCUUCAAUUUUGUUUGAGUUUUGAAGUAUUUGUGAGGCCGAAAGUGAAGCUAUUUCAAUGUUUUGAAGGUGGAAUUGAACCCUCUGUGGCAACAAAAGAAGCUGAAAGACUUCUGCCAUGGAAAUGGGAUCCUUUUGCAAGCUUACUCUCCAUUGGGAGCCGUAGGAACCAAGUGGGGCAGCAAUAGAGUUAUGGAGUGUGAGGUGCUCAAGGAAAUCGCCAAAGUAAAAGGGAAGACCGUGGCUCAGGUGCGUUUUUCAUCCAGAAAACAGAAGCAAAAUUAGCUUCGUCUUUUUUGUUUUAGGAAAUUUAGAUGAAAGUUGAGUACUAAAAUACUAAACCAAAAACCAGGUAUGUCUAAGAUGGGCGUAUGAGGAAGGGGUGAUUCUAAUAGUGAAGAGUUUCAACGCAGAGAGAAUGAAGCAAAACCUUGAGAUAAUGGAUUGGUCAUUGAGUGAGGACGAGCUGAAAAUGAUCCAACACAUCCCACAAAGCCGAGGCAUCCAGGCAGAAGCUUUCGUCUCCGAAAACGGUCCUUUCAAGACACUGGAGGAACUUUGGGAUGGAGAAAUUUGAUUUGGUAUACAAUAUUUCCACACAAUUGUCUCCUGUCUUCCAUUUCCCUGUUAGUUUUACUUUCACCUUCCACUUUCUUUACUCUGAUUACUCGGAGUUCUCUUAUCUUUUAUGAAAUCCCAAUAGGACCGAUCCAUAUAUUUAUACAACAGAGGAGUUAAUGAAUCAGUAAAGAAAUCAACUAACAAUCAACCUAACAGAAUCUUGAUUAACACACUAACUGAAGAUUUAACAGAUUACAAACUCACUUAACUAACCUUAACUGCUAACUAACUAACUACUAAUUGAACGACUCAACUUGAACCUUGAAGCUGCAGCACCAUACUUCAGUUAGCUGCCUUCAUACCUGGCAGUUUUGAUGUUGAACAUGUUGUUGUUGCUCAUAUUUGCUAGCAACACCAAGACUAAAUUUGAAUUUAUUGAAAAACGGUGCAGAGGCUUGGUAAGGACAUUUGCAAUCUGUUCUUGUGCUGGAACAUGACCACCCCGCUGUCACUUUCUCUCGAACAAAAAAGGCUUUUUUAUUUAAAUAACUCAAAUAAUUUAAUUAAGUACCAAAAUGACCCACUUUUUUAAUUAAACACCAAAAUGACCUAAAAUCUACAGUAAAAGUUGGAGCCAAUUUAUAUGGCGCCACCAACUUGCUACGUCAGCAGGGAGCAUUAAAAAAUUAAUUUUUUGGUAGAGCCAUGUAAAAUGGCGCCACCUGUAUAAAUACUAUGGAAAUACUUCAAGUUUUGGAAAAGUGGGGGACUUCAAAAUAAUUUUUCAUUUUCUGGUGGAGCCAACUUAAAUGGCGCCACGAGACACCCUUCUUUUAUUUUUAUUUUUUAACUUUUUUAUUAACUUUUGUCUUUUUCUUUAAUUUUUUUUCUUUUUUUAAGUUUUAUAUUUUUUCUUAUUUUAUUUUGUUUAUUUUAUUUUAUUUAUUUAUUGUUAUUAAUUUUAAAAAAUCUGAAAUAUAUAUUUGAAAUGUUUUAUAAUAUAUAUUUUUUAAAAUUUUAAAUAUUAUUUUUAAAUUAUUUUUUAAAUUUUUAAUAUUAUUUUUUAAAAUAUUAAAUAUAUAUUUUUAAUAAUAUAAAAUAUUUAAAUAUUUUAAAAAUAUGACCUUUCAAAUUUAUUAUUAGUUUUUUAAUAUUUUAAAUAUUAUUUAAUUUGUUUUAUAAUAUUUUAAAUUUUGAUUUUUAAAUUAUUUUUAAAGAUAUUUGGCUUUUUAAUAAAAAUAACCCAAAAAAUUUAAUUAUUUAUCAAAAUUACCCAUUUUUUUAAUUUGGCUCUACCAACUUUUACUGUAGAUUUCAGGUCACUUUCGUGUUUAAUUAAAAAAUGAGUUAUUUUGAUAAUGAAUUAAAUUUUUUGUGUUAUUUUUAUAAAAAAAGCCAAGAUAUUCAAACCAUUUUUUAAAUUCUAUUUAAAAGUUAAAAAAUAAUAUUUUAUUUAAAAAAGUGAAAUUUGAAUUAAUUAAAAAUAAGAAAUAUUUGUUAAAAAAAGAUUUAUUUGUUAAAAAUAAAUUUAUUUAAAAAUAUAUAUUAAAAAGUAAAAAUUAAAAUUAAAAGUUAAAAAUAUAUAUUAUAAGAUCACAUCAUGUCAGUAAUGUGACUAGAUAUGAGAUUAAACAUUAAAUAAAAAAAAUCAAUCUUAAAUAAGGGAGGUUUGGUCCCCCUUUAGAAGAAAGAAAAAAGAGAGAAAAAAAAGUUAAAGUUAGUUAAUUUUUUUUAUAUAUUUUAUAGUUAUUGUAAUAUAAUAAUUAUUUAUAUUGUAUUUAUGUGUUUUUUUUAUAUCAUGCAGAUAUCAAAAUGUCUUCUGGAGAUAUAGAUCACACUUCAUUGAGGAUCGACGAAACAGUAAAAUUAAUUAUGAAUUAAAUAAAAAAUCGUUUUAGUUUCUCAUUUUUUCUUGUUAAGCACUACUUUACUCAACGUGUUUUGAUUCAUGAAUGUGAUAUCUAUUUAGUUAUUAUUAUUCCUUUUUAACUAUUUUCUUGCAUGAAAUUAAUAUGUAUGUGUUGGUUAUAAUUUUUUAAUUUUAGGACACAUUUAUAAAUUUAUAUAUUAAUUUUUUUAAUUUUAGUACACAUUCAUAAAUUUAUGUACUUAAUAUAUAUUUUUAAUAGAUAAAGACAAAAAAGAUUUUCUUAAUAGAUUUAAAAUGUUUAAAAACUUAAAGAAAUUAAAUAUAUUAAAAAAUGUUAUGUAUAGCCAAUUUUAAAAUUUUAAUAUAUUUAAUAUAUUUUUAAAAAAAUUAAAUAUAUUAAAAAAUUUUAAGUAUAACCAAAAUUAAAAUUAUAAUAUAUUCAAUAUAUUUUUUAAAAAUAUAUUUUAAAAUGUUAAUAUAUUUAAUAAAUUUUUUAAUAGGAAAAGAGAAAAAUAAUUUUUUAAUAUAUUUAAAAUUUUAAAAAACGUAAACAAAAUUAAAUAUAUUAAUUUUUUAAAUAUGUUAAAAGAAAAUGUUGAGUAUAACCAAUUUAAAAUUUUUAAUAACUGAAUAUAUUUAAAUAUAUUAAAAUUUUGAACAUAUUAAAAAAAAUUAAGUCUAUAUAUUAUAUGUAUGAUAAAAGUUCUCGUAUGUAAGAUAAAUUUUCGAGUUUGAAUAUGCGUAGUUUAUAUUAUAUGUAAAACUCUAUAUAUUAUUAUAGAUAUGAAUUCAAUAUAAAAAUAAGUUUUUUCUUAUUUUUAUAUUUACCCAUACAACCUAUAGUUUUUUAGGAUAUUAUUAUUAUUUUUAUGUACUUUUUGUUGUUAUAUAGUUGCAUUUAGUUUUAAUGCUUAACUAUGAUUAAUAUUUUAUGACAAAUCUUCAUUCUAUUAUUAAUAUAUUAUUACUUAUUUAAUUUAACUUAAAUAAAAAAUACUUAGAAUGGCUACAUUGGUAUAGUAUAAGUGUGAUGUUUUUAUUUUCUCAACCUUUUAAUUUUAGUCUUCAAUAUAUAAUUUUAUGUUUAAAUUAUAUAGAUAAUUGAUUUAUCAUAUUUUUAUAAAAAAUUUACCAUACAAGAUGGUUAUCAGGUUUUGAGGUCGCGGUUUCAUUUUCUCAAGUACGAUCCGGAUGAGCGGAUCAUGCCAUACUUACAGAUGGCGGGAUUUGGGGACGUCGCAUUGAUCCGGAGGUUUGACCUGAGGUCGAACUUAAUAUCGCCUUGGUUAAGCGGUGGUGUACGAAGACCCACACCUUCAUUAUGCCGUGCAGGGAGUGCACUAUCACAUUGGAAGACGUCGCUACGCAACUUGGGUUAGGAGUUGACGAUGUUGUGGUCACGGAUCGAAGCAAUGUGUUGGAACCUUCAGUACUAUGCCACAGAUUGCUUGGACGGUCCCCUAAUGAUAGGGAACGAAAUUUCACAUGCUUGACAUUGAAAUGGUUGAGAGUAAAUUUUAAGGAGUUAUCGAGCACUGCCAUUAAGUACGAGAUGAUGUGUGCUGCGCGAGCCUAUAUUAUGCAGUUGAUCGGGGGGUAUUUAUGCCAAACAACACGUCUAAUAGGGUCCAAUUAAAGUAUUUGCCUCUAAUGGAGGAUUUUUCUCAUGUUGGUAGUUACAGUUGGAGAUCGGCAGUGUUGGCCGAAUUGUACUAUGAGCUUUGCCGAGCAACAAAACAUGGGGUUAGUAACAUGGCUGGUUGUCUGGUUCUACUGCAGUCUUGGGCUUUAUACAGGAUGCCGUUUCUAGCGGCUGUUAGGCACCAACCAUAUUCGUGGCCAGUUAUAAAUAGGUAAAAACAAAAUUAUACUUAACAUUUAACGGCUCAUAAGUGUGGAUAAUAUUUUCCAAAGUUUAACUGCUAACGUGUUUGUUUCAGUGUCAGAUGGGUCACGUCUCUGGGAAUUGAUGCGAUCCAAACAUUAAUCAUUUACCGCCAAAUGAUAGAGGCGUAUGCCGGAGAUAAAGUAAUAUAUAUUUAUAUGGUUUAAGUAACGUUGAUUUAACUUAUCCACUUGCAGUAUGUGAUGUGACUUGACUCAUUAUGUUAUAUUGUGUAGUUCUUGUGGAUGCCGUAUUCUGCAAUGAACAUUGCACCCAUUAUUCCUUAGUGGGUUCACGCUGAAGCCCAUAUGUGGUGCAUUAACAUGUCGGUGCUCAACUUUUCAACCAUUGAGUGGUACAACGGUGAUCGAGUUAUGCGACAAUUUAGGGGUAGACAAUUUGUGCCGGUCGAGCCAGAACAAUUUGAUGAAGUCCUCGGUAAGACCAUGAGGGGGAAACAUACAACAUAUUGGAGCGUGGAUGUAAGCCAAUUUUGGGCCACCCUCAAAACCCAACAACUAACCUACCCUAAUCCAAAAACCCCUAACCCAAUAAGCCCAUUAAACAAAACAAGCCCAAACCUUAGCCCAACAACCCAAAACCCAACACUUGACCCAGGCCCAGAAGCCCAAACUCCAGACUUAGGGUUUCAGAAACCUUAGCCUACUCAGCCGCAACCUUCCCCACUUGUACUUAGCCCCAUACACUGCUCCACUAUAGCAGCCCCAUACCCCCACGCGUCUGACACCAUCUGCCGCCGCAUGCUCCUCCACCACCACCAGCUCCUCCAUACCCUGCAAAGACAGAAGCAGACCAAACAGAAUGGGACAAAAGAUAAACAAUAUUUUCCUAGUUUUGUAGUCGGCUAUAAAGCUGAGAAAUAAACAUUUGUAAAGGGGGAUUUUUUUUGCUAUGAAAACAAAGAUUUUCUUUCAAUAUUAAAAGAUUAAAUACAAGAACCAUUCGAAAAUACAUAUACAAUCAGGGGCUCUAACACCAAAUCGGAGAAUCAAAUCUAAAACCUAAGGUGACUUUUUUUUCUUUUUUUCUUUACUGUUUUGAGUUUGUUUUUUACAUAAAAAUACUAAAAAAUAUCAAAAUAUAAAAACUAUUAAGCAUAAAUACCGGCCCCUGGCUGGAUUCCCCUCUCUUCUCUCUCUCUUAUCUCUUCCCUCUCUCUUCUUCUUUUCUUUCCCUCUCCCCAAAUGAUUUUUUGGGUUAUUUUAGGCCUUAUAUAGCCCUCCAAAACGACGUCGUUUUGGGGGCUACACUUAAGCCCCAAAACGACGUCGUUUUGGCCAUGCCCGACCCAUCCGACCCGACCCGCUAGAGGAUCCGCGUGUUUUCGUUUGAAUGGGAUAUUUAUGCGCGCAGUCCUUCCGCUUUUCUGAUGCUUCACAAUUAAGUUUUUUAUGGUUUUCAAUUUGGCCCUAUAAUUUCUUGCGCUUUUCGAUUUAGUCCCCGCCAAUGUGCUGCGUUUUAAUGGAAAGGAAUAAUUGUUGUUUCGGUCCCCCAACGUUUCACGCGCAUACAAUUAAGUCCAUUUUCUUUGUUUUCAUUUCAAAUUGGCCCCACAACUUUGUUUUUAAUUCAAUUUUAGUCCUUUUUUUGUUGAUUUUUAUAUCUUUAUUAAAUAUCCUUGUUAUUUUUAUAUUAUUAGUAUUAUUAGUAUUACCAUUAUUAUUAUUAUGUAUUAGUAUAUAUUUUUAUUAUGUACGUGUAUACCUAUAUAUAUUUUCAUAUUUAAUAUUUUUAUUUCACUUUAUUUUAAUAUUUUAUUAAUGUUAUGUUUGUUUCUUUUAUAUUCCAAUGUUAUCAUUAUUAUUAUUCUUAUUAUUUUUAUUAGUUUAUGCUUUGUUAUAUAUUUAUAUAUUUAUAAUACGUAUAUAUACUUGAUAUAUUUGUAUAUACCUCGGUAAUAUUAUUACUAGUUUUCAAUAUACGCAUAUAUUACCUAAAUAUUUUAGUAUUAUGUAUAUUCUUCAUGUAUUAUAUAUAUGUGUUCUUAAUACUAUACUUUAUUUGUGUCAUGUUUUUUUAUGUUGUAUUAUUAUAUUUUAAUAUUAUAAUAUAUAAUUAUAUAUACAUAUAUCUUUUAUAUAUAUUAUCAUUGUAUAUAUUUUAAUAUUAUUAGUUAUAUUUUUCUUUUACACUAUUGUACACAUAUUUCUAAUAUUAUAUUGUAUAUACUAUUGUUUAUAUAUAUAUGUGUGUAUGUAUUUGUGUAGUGUACAAAAUAGUUUUAUUAUUAUUCUUAUCAUUUCUAAGGUAUGCAUAUACUGUACAUGUUCUAUGCGUGUUGUAUGGAUUUUUAAUAUUGCUAUAUAUACAUAUGUCAUCGUACGCACGCAUUCUUAAUAUUAUUAUUACGUGUAUACAUUCAUUAUUUUCAUUUCGUGUUCAAUUCCAUUAUUACAUUAUACCUUCAUCUUUUCUAAUAUUAUUGUCACCUCGAUUAUUUGUUUCAAUAUAUUCCUAGCUCUUUCAUUUAUUGAUUUUUAUUUCAUAUUAUUUUACUUUGCAUUAUUUUGAAAAUAUUCUUAUUCAUGAUUUAAAUCAAUUUCAAUAAUCAAGGCAAUAUACCGAUUUAACAUUAAGUCAUCGAGUUCAUCGCUAUGUUGGGUGAACGUCAAUUGACUCGUGUUAAAAAGGCAUGCCCUUCUCAAAAAUCGGAAUAAACUAAAAUUUCUCGUUUUUUUCGGAUCAUAACUAAACUUUACAUUGAGUUCGCAUUUUUGAAAAUUAAGACAACAUGUGUUUAUGAGAUACCAAUUUUUGGGCGUCGCGAGGGUGCUAAUACCUUCCUCGCGCGUAACCGACUCCCGAACCUUAAUUUUCCUCUGGCUUUUAACGUAGACCUAAAUCCAGCCCUCCUUUUGUUUUAAAAAAACAAUGAAUCUAAUAGGUGUCCGAUCACACCUAGGAAAAGGAUCGGUGGCGACUCCCUCUUUAUUUUAAAAUCAAACUUCAGUUUUCAAACUUUUUCACUAGAUUGCCACAAUUAGCGACCCCAAACCAAAAUUUUUACGUCGCUACAGCUGGCGACUCCACUGGGGAGAAAUUGUUGAGAGUCGUGUUUGGAAUUAAACACAUUUUGUCAAAAUUUUCAAAUUUCCUUGUUCAAAGUAAAUAUUUGGUCAUGAUCCGAAAAAUCUCGUUUUCAAAAUUCAUGCAUUUAUAUCGUGCUGUAAAUAUUUCUUCUAACUUGCUUAUUUGGUUGUUUUUCAGUUUUUAAUUUUUAUGGUUUUAAUUUUGGUUUAGUUUCUUUAAAUAAAACGUAAAGGUUUACAAGUUUCUCCCCACACACCGUGCACGUGCAUUUUUUGUUGCAUAACAUGAGCUCUAUACCCGGGCUCCGUCCCUGUUAAGAGAAAGUAAACGCUACGCCUUCGUGAGUUAACUCGUUCCUCCGCACAGGCUAGUGAAUACUUUCGGGUUACAAAUGACUUAUGCUUUUGUGAGUUAACUUGUCCCUCCGUAUAGGCAUAAGUAAAUGUAAUCCCUCGAAUUGAUCUCGUAAGCCUGUGAUGGGCUAUGACCGAGGCUCCGUGUUAAUCUCAGCAGAUGAUAGUACGGGCAAUUCGAGUACCUAUCUAGAACCAAAAUCGCAUAUAGUGAACCAUACGAGCCACCUAACUAGAGCCAUGCCGAACCUCUGUCCGCUUAUAGUCACCAAAAUAAGUAUACAGGGAAAAUACCUUUUGCCUUUCAUUUACACUGUUUAUGCAAAGUAAUUGGAUUGGGUAGUUUAAUUUGUUUUUCAAAUUAUAUUUGUUGUGUUUACUCACCAAGUUUGUUUGUUUUUACUUUUAUUUUCAUCAUGCAUCAUAGGCAUCAUAUUAGGAAGGUGUUGAUUAAAAGUUGGUUGCCAAAAAACGGGUUUCUGAUGGAGGAGUCAAUUACACAAAUAACCGAGAAGAGUGCCGUGGUUCGGGACUGGUCUCUAAAAAUUCAGAAAGAAAAGGAGGAUAGUCUAGUGGAAGGGUGUAUUGCCAAUUUGCCCGAACAUAUAACUGUAAAUGUUCGCCAAAAUAACCUUGAGGAUUUGGUUCAAAUUUGGAAUCAGUGGGAUUCAGACACUAGAGACAUUUUCACUGAGAGGUAUGGGGAUAUAGCUCACCUGAUCACCAUCCAUGUAGACGAACAGUUGAUUCAAGCCAUGGUUCGGUUCUGGGACCCAGCUUAUCAGUGUUUCACCUUCAAUCAAGAAGACAUGACUGCAACCAUAGAAGAGUAUGCUGCUUUACUCCGCAUCGACAAUGUACAAUUCGGCAAAAUAUAUGUGAAGGAGCCUAAGCCGAUGACCUUCAAGAAAAAGUUAGUGAGACUGACAGACAUGACUGAUGCAUGGGUCGAAAAACAGAUAAAGAAGAAGAAUGAAACCAUUUGCAUUCCAUGGUCUUCCCUACGAGAUUUGGCUCUGAACCAUCCCAACAUGCUGAAAAGGGUAAAUCUAUUCGCUUUGGCCAUUUACGGUUUGGUCAUUUUCCCAAAAGUUCUCGGACAUCUCGAAGUUGCAGUAGUUGAUUUCUUCGAAAGGUUAAAACAAG
rnacentral:lncRNA from 1 species